rnacentral:lncRNA from 1 species
UUUCAAUAAAAUUGCUAAGGCCAGAGACAAUACAAAAACAUAUUAGACUGUUCAUGAAACAUAUCACGGUGGACAGUGUUUGUGUCCUUAUUACAAGCAGCGAGAGGAAUUAUAUAUGCUUGUCACCACACACGCGCGCGCACAGAUGCACGACAUACAUAUAGUUGAGACCAACAGAUGGAUCGACUAGAGGUGACCCCAUAUGGUGAACAAUUUAUUGGAGAUAAACAUUAACAUAACUUGGCCAUAGCUUGAAGCAUAGCAACAUAUGCGUAUGAAUGGCAUUGAUGCUAUCGUUUUAGGCUUGUCCAGAUAAUAAUAUCUGGUUUUAAGCAUAACAUGGUUUUUACUUAAUUUAUCUGUGCGUGCGAUAAUAAACCAGAUAAUAGCUUGAAACAUGUUGUGCAUUGGCACCACACGCACGAGAAUAAAUUAAGUAAAAAACAUGCACACAUAGAUAAUAAUAAUAAUCAAGUUUCAGUAAAAUUGCUAAGGCCAGAGACAAUACAUAAACAUAUUAGACUAUUCAUGACACAUAUCACGGUGGUCAGUGUCUGUGUCCUUGUUACAAGCAGCGAGAGAUGCUUGUCACCACACGCACGCGUGCACAGAUGCACAACAUACAUAUAGUUGAGGCUGCAAUUUAUAGGCAGCUGCGCUAUGUGAUGAUAUGGACAAGGUGCAAAUGGGUGGUCCUGAUAUGGAUAAGGUGCGAAUGGCUGUCUACUUGUAUUGUGUAGCUCCAAUGUACGUAUGUAUCUUAUACAUGUAUACAGUUGAUGGAUAAGGUAUACAGUCUUUGUUACCAAGUAAUUUUACUUUCGCACGUUUCAGCCGAGAGGCAGAAGAGAAUAUUUUACAGAGAGGGCAGAGAAGGAGGUUGGUAGGGUUCCCCGUGUCGCCAAGAUUUUUGCAUUUUACAUGUGUGUAUAGAUCACUUCGUCGUGCGGCGCCCUACUCCAGGUUGUACCCCAGCAGACCACGUUCUGUUUCUCUGCCUCCACAAGGACCACAAGACUUAGUAAAAAAAGCUAAACUUUGCAACACGAUGUAUACAGAAUUAGUAGCUAGAUCUAUAUAUGAAAUUCAUCCUAAAACUGAUAGGUGGAGAGAAGUAAAAAAUACCAAUUUGAUUUCCUAUCUGAUUAGAGGAAAUAUGGAUGGAUCGGUCGCAAUUAGCGAAGUGGCUCCAAUUGACAUAAAAGGUGUGCAUUGCAUUCAGCAAGAAAAAUUGAGUUUCUACUGAAUCUAUGAAAAAAAAUGAGCUUACGUUAUCAUAUAUAGGCAUAAAUUAAAAUGACAAGAAAUUCCAACCACGGUAUAUAAGACCAAUAAUUGGAAAGAUGGAUGAAAGGAAGAUAGGGUUUAAAUUAAAGUCUCCGCAUAGGCAGUUUGACUAUGAUCAAUUUUACCUGUAUUUCUCAAUAUGUAGAUAAUUCUAUGCCAACAAUUAAAAACUAAUACAUAAUUUGACACGGUGUACCUUGAGAACGUUUUGAAAAUGUACUCUCGUUAGGCGUUCACCUCCUUAACAAUAACUGCGACUGUAAAAUAGGUACAUCGACGCUAGCUAAAUAAACAACUAUAAGAUUUAGCAAGAGAUCAUUUUAUACAAUCCUGUAACGAAAGAAUUUGACAAUUAUAUUGUCCAUAUAUUUUGACGAAAAACAUCUAAAUUAUAUAAGGUGGGCCCGAAACAGUUGGAUUAGCAUAUGGUUACCCGUUUGUUGUCUUCCGGCCCUAAAAAAAGGACCAUCUUACUGAAAAAGGUUCUAUUAGCACAAGUAGAGAACUGACUUUCGAUGCACCCCCUUUUAUCCCGGUUUAAAGUAGGCCCGGGAGAAAAGGGGGUGCGCCAUGGUAGGCAAAAAUGGAGGGGAGAUUUACUCCCGGUUGGUAUUUGCAACCGGGACUAAAGGCCACCCUUUUGUCCCGGUUGGUGUUACCAACCGGGAUAAAUAGUUUACUCCCAGUUGGAGGUUCCAACCGGGACAAAAGGGCCACCAUUUUGUCGGCCCUUUUGUCCCGGUUGGAGCCUCAAACCGGGAGUAAACUUUCAACCGGGACAAAAGGUGUUUCUUUUUGUGUCGGUUGGAGUUUCUAACCGGGAUAAAAACUCAUCCCCAUUAUAUACCAAGACAGAGGUCUUUCUUCCUCCUCCAGCCCGAGCCAGUCCACCAUAAAGACAGAGAGCUCAGCUUCACCUACUCUCCGGUGGUGCCGAAGCAAGGGAGGUGCUGCCCGAAUUUUUUUUCCCUCAUUUUCGUGGGAAUUUCACUCAGCCAACACAAGUGUUGUGAAGGUUUGCUACUUCAUCCUCGUGUUACGCUUUAAUUUAUGCUUUGGAGAUGGAAAGUUUAUUUGCUAGAAUGUGAUGAAGUAGAAAAUGGAGAGGUACUUUGAGCUAGAAUGUGAGGGAGAUUGAUGUGUCAUAUAUAGUAUGUAUUCUUGCAGUGAUUUAAGAAUGAUGCUACCUUGUCUAGAUGGUUUAUCUUAUCAAAUUCAAUGUGGUUUUUCAAAUUCAUACUUAUUGAACUUGCAUACCGUGUUCAUGUCGGCGAGAAUGUUCUCCGCCGAGCAGCAACGUAUGUCAAGAAGGAGGUUUGAUUCUACGAGAAAGAGUGGAUACGGACAUCGUGACCGUAUCCCCUUUUUCGUAGAAUCGAACCUCUUUCAUGACGAAGUGCGGUGCCGCCCAGUUGAGAACAUGCUCGCCAGAUGAUCACGGUCUUCAAGUUCAACAAGUUCUGUAGGCAUACCGUGGUCAUCUCGGUAAGCAUGUUCUCCGUGGAGCAGCAACGGACGUCAAGGAGGAGGUUCGAUUUUACGAGAAAGAGAGGCAACAGACAUUGUGGAUGACUGUGUCCCCUUUCUCAUAAAAUCGAACCUCUUCCAUGACGAAGUACGGUGCCGCUCAGUUGAGAACAUGCUCACCGAGAUGAUCACGGUCUUCAAGUUCAACAAGUUCUGCAGUGCUAAGGUAAGAAUUUUUGUACAUAGAUGGCUUCUGCUACUAGAGGAAGUGGCGAUGGUGGGGGCGAUCGUCGUUCCUCUUUCGGCAAGGGGAAAAUCAUAGUUGGCCCUCAGGAUAAGCCGAAGAAAAUGAGCGCGUUGGAGAAAGCAAUGCUUCGUUAUUUGCAGAAACGUCAUGAAGAAGCUGUUGCCGCGGGUCAGGAACCUCCUUUUGGUGGUCGUUAUGCUCCACCCUCAGUCCCAGGUGUUUCACGUCCACUUAGUACUACCAUUUCAGGUGGCACAAAUAAACCACAGGAUGAGGCUGGGUCAGCGGAACCUUCAUCUUCACCGCCCAAGGAUGCUUAAAGUCCACCUAGAUAAUAACCAGUGGAUGACUUGUUGUAUUGUAUCAUGUUGUUUGGAUAUUUAAUUUAAAUAUGUGUAUUUGUAUCUAUAUCUAAACUUUCAGCAUUAUUUGCACUACAACGUUUGACAUGCUUUCAAUCAUGAAUCCAUUUUCAAGUGUAAUCAAUUUUCACGCGUAAUCCAUUUUCAAGUGUAAUCAAUUUUCACGCGUAAUCCAUUUUCAAGUGUAAUCAAUUUUCACGCGUAAUCCAUUUUCAAGUGUAAUCCAUUUUCAUGCGUAAUACGAUGCAGAUGGACCGGCAAUGGAUGUAUAAUGCAGACAGACGGAGCAAGGUGUUUAUUGAUGGCUUGCAUUAUUUUCUCGAAGUGGCCAAAGCGAACAAGCCAGAGAAUGGGUUCGUAUGUUGUCCAUGCUUCCAAUGCAAUAACAAGAAGGACUAUUCAAAGGAUUCCUGGGGGACUAUUCACAGCCACUUGUUUAGAUACGGUUUCAUGCCUAACUAUUUGGUUUGGACCAAGCACGGUGAAAGAGGGGUUGUAAUGGAAGAUGGUGAGGAGGAGGAGGAGGAUGGCAACAUUCCUGACUAGGUUGCAGGCCAAGCUUUUGCAGAUACUACAAUGGGCGAGGCUGAUGAAGAUGAGUUUGCAGAAAAUGGCCCUACGAUGACCUUGGUCAGGUGCUACGAGAUGCACACAGAGAUUGCGAAACUGAGAAGGAAGCAGCAAAGUUGCAGCGCAUGAUAGAUGAUCACCAAAAAUUGUUGUACCCAGAUUGCCAGCAGGGCCAUAAAAAACUAGGUACGACACUAGAAUUUGUGCAAUGGAAGGCAAAAAAUGUUGUGUCCGAUAAGGCAUUUCAGGGGAUGUUGAACAUUGUCUAGAAGAUCAGGCGAGAUGAUCCUGGUGAUGUCGAGGGGCAGUCUCCCAAGAAGAGAGUUCCCACGAAGGUGAUGUGGUAUUUCCCUAUAAUACCACGCUUGAAGCGCUUGUUCAGGAACAAGGCAAAUGCUAAGUUGAUGCGAUGGCACAAAGAAGAACAUAUGGAAGAUGAGAUGCUGAGACACCCCGUAGAUGGGGCCCAGUGGAGAUCAAUUGAUAGAGCAUUCCUGGACUUUGAAAGUGAAGCAAGGAACAUAAGGUUUGGUUUAAGUACUGAUGGAUUCAAUCCAUUCGGUGAGUUGAGUAGUGGCUAUAGUACUUGGCCUGUGACCCUAUGUAUGUUCAACCUUCCUUCUUGGCUGUGCAUGAAGCGGAAGUUUAUUAUGAUGCCGGCGCUUAUCCAAGGCCCAAAACAACCCGGCAAGGGAUAUGGAACAGAGGAGUUGAUCGAGUUUUGUGUUGAUUUUAUUGACUCAAUUGACUCGAUUGGGAUUCCAACUUCACGCCACGAGGGGAGGCUCCGGGGAAUGGGCACCCUUGGAAGGAAAUCAAGUUUGAGCAAUGAUACUGAUUUGUUCGACAAGGCACACUACACUGUUCUGCAAUAGUCAUCCUUUGUGUCUCCCUAUAUCGAGCAGCACAGGCAGAUGGUAGUUUUCCAAAAACCUGACGAAAUCCGAUGCUUGGCUUACACAUCAUCACAUGGAAACUUUUUCCUCCUGGUUGCGCCAACAACUCAUGGGUAACUCUGAGAUUUACCCACAGCUCGCUUGGUUAGCCAGGGGACCUGCUAGCACAAUCGUGAAAUUUCAAGACUAUGAGAUAAAUGGUUAUACAUUUUACACGAGAGCCUAGGACCAGAAAAGCACGAACAAGAAUAGUGGUGUCCGCAUAGAUGCCAUAGAUAGAAAUAAUAACAAGGAGUCGUAUUAUGGUUUCAUACAGGAGAUAUGGGAACUCGAAUACGGACCGCUGUACAUCCCUGUAUUUCUUUGCAAUUGGGUGAAGCUAACUGCCGUAACCAAAGAUCAGUACGGAAUGACAAUAGUAGAUCUGAGCAAGACUGGAUACAGUGAUGACCCAUUCGUACUUGCGAAUGAUGUGCAUCAGGUUUUCUAUGUGAAGGACAUGUCUAGCAAACCCAAGAGAAAUCCAGAAGAGACAUGGGAGCCAAAGUGCCACAUAGUUCUUCCAGGUAAAAGAAAAAAUCGUUGGAGUCGAGGAUAAAAUAGACCAAUCAGAUGAUUAUGAUCAGUUUGAUGGCAUGCCUCCAUUCGCAGUUGAAGUUGACCCAAGCAUCCUGGUAUCCAAAGAAGAGGCUCCAUACUUACGCCGGGAUCAUGAUCAAGGAACUUUCGUGAAGAAGAAAUUUUACAACGUUGUAUUGUAAUGCGCUAAAUUUACUUGACCUUUGUGAAGUACUUGAUACAAUUUUUAAUUUAACCUAUGUAUGAUUUCAUGUGUUCUUAAAUUUGUUGAGGUGAAGAUUUAUUAGAUAAACAUGAACAAUGUUAACCACAUACAUAUAUGGAUUUUUUUUGCGCGUUGAAAUUAUUUAAUUGAAUAAUUUCUCCAUCAUUGCGAUGUAGUAAAAUAAUUAUUUUAGAGGCUAAACGAACUGGUAUAGAAUUAAUGACUAAUUCACACUUAUUGUCAAUAUACUUGCUAAUUAAAUAUAUUUUUGCAUGUUCAAAAUAUGUGAAUUUUUUUGUUUUUGCAUCCUGAAAUGCAGUGAAAACAUACAUAAAAUCCUUUUCCAAAAAAUAGGCGGGAGAUGAAAGUGUGGGAAAAGGCCCUUUUGUCCCGGGUGCCAAUAGAAACCGGGACAAAAGGACCUUUUAUCCCUGUUGCCAACUACAACCGGGAUAAAAGGGUAGUUUUCGUUUCCCGCCGGGGACGUACCCUUUUAUCCCGGUUACAGUUAGCAACCGGGAUAAAAGGGGGGGCCCUUUUGUCCCGGUUGGUGUUGGCACCCGGGAUAAAAGGGCCUUUAGUCCCGGGUUCAAUUACGAACCGCGAUAAAAGCGGGGAGGGAUAAAAGGCACUGUAGCCUCUUCUACCACCACCCCACGCUAGUUACGACACUUAGCCAAAUUUUCACCGCUGCCAAGAUCCCGCGCCCUUCCGCCAGCUCCGUCACCGCCCAUCCGCCUCCCUCGCCGGCCGCCGUCGUCCUCGUCGUCCAUCGCCCCGGCCAUCAUCGUCCCGCCGCCCGACCGCCUCGCCCGCGCCCAGACCACCUCCUCCUCCAUCGCCCCGGCCCGCCUCCGAUCCUCCUCCGUCGUGCCCCCUCGACCUCGUCGCAGCCGGCCGCCUCCAUCGCGGGGCCUCGUCCCCGCCUCAGUCAACGCCACAUUCUCUGUCGCCGCCUCAUCACCGCCUCUGUCGCGCGCGCCGCCUCCGUCCCUCGUCGCCGUCCGCCUCCGCCCGUUGUUGCUGUGGCCACCUCGCUCCGUCCCCGCCUCCGCCGUCCCACCGCCCCGGCCGCCGCCGUCCCGCCGUCCCGGCCAUCUCGUCGCCCAGCUAGGCACCGCGUGAGGUCCGCCGGCACUGGCACCGGGAAUGAACAGCUCUUGCUGACGCAAACCCACCGGCUUGCGUAAGCAAGGACCUUUUUUAUUUUUUAGUUAGAAAAUGAAUAGAUAUUAGUAGAUUAGUUAGAAAAUCAAUAGAUAUUUGUAGAUUAGUUAGAAAAUCAAUAGAAAAUCAGUUGAUAAAUUUUGUAGAAAUUCAUUCAAAUUACUAGGAAUUAGUUGUAAUUUGCUAGAAAUUCCAAUAAAUAUGUUGAAAUAAGUAGAAAUUUGGUAGAAAUUCUUACAAAGUACUACUAAUUUGUUGAAAUUUGUAUAAACAUUCCGAACUCUGUGGGAUUCAUGUUAUUGUAAAAUUAUUAGGCAUUAGUAGAAAUUUUGUAGAAAUUCCAAUAAAUAUGUAGAAAUUAGUAGAAAUUUUGUAGAAAUUCUUACAAAGUACUACUAAUUUGUUAAAAUUUGUAUAAACAUCUCGGAUCAGCGCUUGGUUUGUUGAAAUUUGUAUAAACAUCUCGGAUCAGCGCUUGGGUUUUGUAAGUGUCCAUUUAUCUACAUGUAAAUUUUGCCUCAUAUCAUUAUUUUUUUUGCGUGCGUCACCGUACUAACUUCAUCUUCCAUUUUAUGUAUCAUGCUAAUUCAGAUGUGCCGACGAGAGGCGUACCUACAUAUUGGCUUCAUGGAUCCAUCCGUAGUUAACCAAAAACAGAUACAAUUAUCGCCGGAAAAAACCUUGGUGGAAGUAUACAAUUUCCUAGACAAACAAAAAUUCAAGGAUUUCAUACUACUUCCAUACAACUUCAAGUAAGUGUGUGUAUACCAUCUACUUUCGUUGUCUUUUUCCUUACCUGAUUAAUUAGUUAGCUCUAAUAUGCAUGAACAUUUUACGUACGCAGCUUCCACUGGAUCCUCAUUAUAAUUGAGCUUGAAAGAAGCCACGUCACUGUCUUCGAUUCGUUGAGGAAAGAUCCGGUGGAGUACCAAGACAUGCAAGACAUGCUAGGCUUGUAAUAAUUCUGGACCUUUAUCUCUAUGCAAAAGUUUGUUUCCUAAAUUUUAUCCCUGUUACACUAUAUCAUUCAUUAUUCUAAUCCGCAGCGCAUGGAAACAAUUCAUAAGGACACACAAAGGUCCAUUCAAAGAAAAACUUACAUGGAACACAGACUUCCCGGUACGUAUGAAGUCUGCACAUUUAGUACAUUGUAUAACACGAAUAUUUUAUAACUUAUUUUUUUCGACACUGAAGUCCUUAAGAUAGGAACUCGGGAAUAAUCUAUGUGGCUACUACAUCUGUGAGCACAUGCACAGUUUUAUGGGACCCAAGGGACUAAAGCUGACGCCGCACAACUUUAAAGUACGUAAAAUAAAACUACUACUAGUUAAUUAUUUUCUAGCUCCUUAUAUUUAAUUGUUCGUGUAACAUUCACAAAUUUCCAAAUUAUAGAUGUUAAAUAUUCAACAAGGACUCUUGAAGAAAAAAAAGGGUAGCGGCAAUAUGUGAAGGUCUCGUUGGAUUCCUAAUGGACGAUGUAGUAAAUGCACAAGGAGAAUUUUAUUACGAUGGACGACAAUUAGACGCUCCGAGCAACACCUCGACGGGAAGAUUGUAGAUAUAUAGUUUGAUUUGUAUACAUAACACGCGCUAAGAUCGAUUUGUAUAUAUAGUUGAUUUCAUUAUACUAGUUGAAUUAUGUAUAUGAAUUGUGUAUAUAUAGUAAUUGUAUAAUUACAAAUUUCAUUCGUUUAAAUACUAGUUGAUUUCAUUAUAAAAAAAGUCUCAACUACUAAAGGUUAACAAAAGGGCCGCGGUACUACGUACGUGAUGCAUGAAAAUUUCAGAUGCCAUGCAGGAAAAUUUAAAUAGGACUUUAGUCCCGGUUGGGAAACCCAACCGGGACUAAAGGGGCACCCUUUACUCCCGGUUGCUUUUACCAACCGGGAGUAAAGGGCCUGUCCCGCGCCAACCGGGACUAAAGGGUGACCUUUACUCCCAGUUGAAGGACCCGGGACUAAAGACCCCCCCUUUUGUCCCGGUUGGUUUAUCCCGGAUGGAUUUUCGAGAGAUAUGCACCCUACCAACCGGGACUAAAGGCGAGUUCUCUACUAGUGUAGGCCAUGCAGCCGGCUCUGUGGUACCAAAAAGAAAUUUUUGACAUGGUUUACAUCGAGAACGUUUUGAAACUAGACUUUGGUACGCAGUUCACCUUCUUAACAAUAACGGCGUACAUAGACGCUAUCUAAAUUGACCACUUUAAGAUUUAGCGAGAGAUCUAUUUUUUUAAUCCCGUAGCGAGAUCUAUUUUUAUAAUCGCGUAGCGACUGUACGAAGGACUGAAAAAUAAGUUUGAUUACCGUAUAUAGUUAGCCAACUCGUUAAUGGAAUAAACGAUAGAGUUCUGCGAGGCAGACUAGCCUUUCACACGCACCAACUGAACCAGCUGGCAUGAUGUAUUUGAUCUUACUCCCUUGGUCCCAUGGAAAGGUAGAAAUAACCAUAUAUAGGCAUGUAAUUAUCAGUUAUACUUAUGGGAUACUUAGAUGACUUGAUGUAUGAAUCAAGAAAAUGCAUCGAUCGAGAACUUACGGGGAUCAUCUCAAUAAUUUAGAGACCAUGCGCAUAUAUAUUGUGGAAGGUGUGCGUGAGGGUCGUUAUCUAUAUCCUGUGUUAGAAAAAGAUUGCAUAUAUAGUUAAUGUUUGUCUUUCUUCGGAUGGCACGUUAGCUGACCAUUGACAACAUGUGAUGAUUUUACUAACAUCAAAAUUAGGCAUGCCCCAUUUUUUAAUUGGUGCAUGGAGUGGGAGGUUUUGGUGGGUGAGCAUUGGUGUGCAACUCGUGUGCGUGAGCAUGUGUGCGUAAGAUAAUGUGUUUUGUUAGAAAAAGAAGAUAAUGCCUCUAAACAAUCCAGAAUAGAAGGCGGGCCCUGACGACAAGAUAAUACCUUACGCGGCGAUGUCUCAACGUGUCACCUGGGGCGGCUUUUGCAGUUUCCCCGUACACACACUAAGAGCCUCCGACCCUUUUUUGUCAAACCUUCUCUUGUAGUCAUGCAUAUAUCCAUGAUGAUUUGAGUCUACUGAUUGACAGUUAGAUAUUUUGCUUGUUUGUGAGAAUUUUUAGUUUCUAUUUUUUUAGAGUGUCCACCUAGGAUCCUAGGUGGCUUCACCUGAAAGCUUCAAAAGAAGCGUCCAAAUUAGUAAUCAUAAGAUUUUCUCAAAAGAGACUUAAUUCUACCACUAUACCUUGAUUGGCGGCCCGAGCCUCUACCUUUGUCUCCACUUGACUAUUUGAGUUGGCUCAGAACGGUUCACCGCGCUAGCAACGUUACGUUUGAUCCCAAUGCCACCACUCAUGUGCGCCACCUGUAUCUACCAAGUGGCAUGUGGUAAUGCCAUGUUUGUUUUAAUUUCGUCCAUCAGCAUUCACAAUGAUAUCAUCACCAUUAUGUAAUUAUCCCACUUUUAAUUUUCUUGCAACUCUGUGAAGUUAACAGUCUCUGAUCAAGUUUCCGAGGAUUGCUAUAUCUUUGUUUAUUAUCUACGGAAGUUGACAGCACAUCCACCAUAAUUCAUGGCCCACCAGACUCUAAGUCCACUGCGAGUAUAUAUUAAUUUGUUUUAAUCCGACUAUACUAGAUGUGUACCAAUCAUUCGAUAUGAGGGACGAACUAAUUGUUUCUUGUCGACUAUUGCACCGUACCUCUCGUUUUCCAAACAAUUAAAAGGUACCCUUCCGUGAUGGUUGUACCGAUACCGACUAUCUAUAUUAUUGCUUUCUUGAGCAUACCAAACGAGUUAAUUGGUAUGAUGAUGUUAUAGCUCAUUUAUAUAUGCUUAAAUACAUACACCGGUAGAAAACUCGCCUUUAGUCUCGGUUGGUACGUGUUAGACACCUAAUCCUUGCAUUGAUGGCUAAUCCUUCCAGCUUUUGUCUUCACGCACGCAUGCAUUGAUAGCCUCCUGCGGAUGGCCUUUCAGCUACUGCGCCGUUCAACUUCUGUGGCCUGUCCGGCUUCUUCCUUUCCCCAUAUAAUGUAAUACGUUCAACUCAAAUGAAUGAAAUCAAAUUAUGCGUGUAUUAUUCUCGCUUUCAGUAGGGGCCAAAUCUCCCGAAAAUCCAUCCGGGAUAAAGAUGAGAAAUUAAUCCAUGCGUGGCUUCAUGCAAAUUUGUUCAGAUCAGGUUUGAACAGCAUGUAAUCUUUUUCAGGCAUCUAUAUGGAGCGUGGGUGUGUUAUGUUAUCUUCUACUACACAUAUAACAUUAAAUUCAUUCAGUUUGGCUGAGAGCCCAAAAUGCAACGAAUAUGCCAUCCAACGUGAAAAAAAGAUGUGGAACAGUAUACUCUAUCUUCGAAAUUAAUUAACGAGAUUCAGCUUCAAAAGAGAUAAGAGCAGACAAGAGGCACAUGGGUGCAUGCAUCCACACCUUGGGAUGCUGCAAAAUUUGGGAUCACGUGUGCGGAUCCCUAAUUAGGAAAAAAGAAUAAUUGUGCUAGCAAAAUGUGGAACACGACUGCCGGCCCAGUUGGCGCUAAGACAUCGUACGUGCAUUAAGUCUGAGGUGCCCAACGAUCUCUUUCUUUAACUCAUGCUUGACUGUGACGGUGCUAUUAUAUAAUAUUGCAUGAUCAUCAUGAUAAGAUCGUAUAGUGACUGAGUGAGACAUGUACUAUAACUUGCAUUUAAGCCUCGAACUGUGUGUCGUUACGUGAGCUGCCUCCUCUCCUCGCCUCUGAAUUAUUGAACCGUUUCCAACAGUGUUGGUCUCGACGAAAUUUGACGCCAACCAGAUUUAUGAAGAAAAGAGAAUAAUACUUGGAAUUGGGAAAAGUUGAUCUCUCUUUACAAUGGGUAGGUGCUCCCCUUUUAUAGUGACCCAUGAGCCACUUUACAUUCCGAAAAUAUCCUUUCUCAACCACUACAUUCCUAGGAUAUGCCGUACAAAUUGAACUCUUCCACGUGGUCACAUUUCUCACACCUCCUGUUUUCCAACCUCAAGACUUCAUCUUCACGCCAAGUUGAUCAUCUAGCCUCGAGGCUCCAUCCACGAUCUGGAAUGAACGUCCAGCUCGAGGCUCCUGCUUGUUAGAAGAACCGUCGUAUGAGACGAGGAUUGUAUCUUAGAGAUAAGAGUUGUUAUGGUUUGAGUUGGCCGGCUAGUAGAUAGAGAUAGAAUCUUGAUGUAUUUGAAUGCUGGCUAAACUUUAUCUAUAACAACAUGCAUUGUAAUCUGUUGGGACUUUCCCCCUAUAUAAACGUGCAACCACGGCGAGCCAAGAUAGGGCAACCGUGUUCAACUCUUUUGACAUGGUAAUCAGAGCCUUUCUUCCAUAAAAUACAUCUACAUCUACACCACCUGGCGCACGCCACCUUGCAUGCAACAGUCAUGGUGUCAUCAUCGUCGUUGUCAGCCACUACGCCCACGGCGGCGCAGCUUGGAGCUCCUGUAGCUGAAAAGCUUACAGGGGAGAAUUAUGUCUUAUGGAAGGCUCAAUUCUUGCCUGCUGUGCGGGGUGCGCAGCUCAUGGGAGUCCUCAACGGAUCUGUCAAGGAGCCGGCCAAGACCAUGGAACUGGUGAAGGCUGACGGCAAGAAAGGGUAGCAUGACUUCAUCAACUUACUACACCAAGAUGUCUUAGCUGGGCUCUAGCCCCGAUCUUGCCAUGCGCUCCGCGAGCUCCAGUGCGUUGUCGACAAGCCUGAGCCGCGUGCAGCACAUGAGCACCGCGUUCCACACGACCGCCGUGGCCUCCAUCGUCUCAGCACCCAUGUGGCCACAGCCACGUCCGUGUUCUCGACGUACAUGCCGGCGAGGAACCCGGGAACGAGCGGGUGCGCGUCGACGUGGUGGGGAGCGUGGCAGCGGCAGCUUUGCUCGAUCUGGCGGCCGGAGAGUGGGACGAGACCACCACGGGGGAGACGGUCGGUGGUGGUGGCGGUGGCAAUGGGAGGAAGGCCUUGGAGAUCAAGGGAUCCAAGGGCCCCUUCCAAGAGAGAAGGGAGAUCGGGGGAGGAGACCGAUGGAGGGGAGGCGGGAGGGAGGAUCGCCGGCAGCGGGGGUAAGGAGAAAGAACAGGCGCGCGGGAGGGAGUCACGGUGCCGGAGACUCGGGAGAAAAGAAGCGAAUCAUUUUUGUGUAACCAGUGGUAUUGGUAGGUAAUUACCCACCAACUCCACGAGGAGGUUCAUAUUGGGUAGUUUUGGAGUUGCAAAAGAGGUGCUCCAAAACUCCACCCCCAUUUGCACUACAGCUCCAUGGAGUUUUGGAGUUGGGGUGUUUGGCUGUAAAAUUGGCUAGAGUUGUUGGAGGUCAGCUCCAGAGCCAUGCCAAACACGCCCUAAGGAUCAGGAAACGAGGAAAAUCCUUCAUCAAGGUAGAUGCAAAAGCGGGCCUUUAUCCAUUAGAAUCCAUCUUGUCAGAAGAAGGCGAUGACAAGAGAGUUUAUGGUGCCAUCAAACCAUCUGCUUCUAGAUGGCAUAGCCGCUUAGGCCAUCCAGCUUAUCCUAUUAUUCAGCGUGUGCUUAAUCAUCAUAAUCUUCCUUGUGGUAGUACUAAUUUUGAGUCAGUUUGUGAUUCAUGUCAAAUGGCUAAAAGCCAUCAACUUCCAUAUUCUAGUUCAAUAAAUUCGUCAAAAGCUUCGCUUGAUCUUAUUCAUUCUGAUGUUUGGGGGCCUGCACCUAAUUCUGUUGGUCGAUAUUCCUACUAUGUGAGCUUUAUUGAUGAUUAUAGUAGGUUCACCUAGAUUUAUCUCCUGAAAAAGAAAUUUGAUGUCUUUCAAGUGUUCAAAGAAUUUCAGAAUCUAGUGGAGCGAAAACACAAUAAGAAAACUGUAUCCAUGCAAACUGACUGGGGAGGCGAAUAUGAGAAGUUGAAUUCCUUCUUUCAGCAAAUUGGUAUAGCACAUCGCGUCUCAUGUCCUCAUGCCCACCAGCAAAAUGGCCUCGUCGAGAGAAAGCAUCGUCAUACUGUUGAAGUUGGUCUCGCUCUUCUCGCAAAUGCUUCAAUGCCUUUAAAAUUUUGGGAUCAAGCUUUUUUGACGGCCACUUAUCUCAUUAAUAUGCUUCCCAGUAAAAUUCUUAAUUUUGAUACUCCUACAGAACGCUUGCUCCAAGAAAAGCCUCAUUACAGCUCUCGUCGCAUUUUGGGGUGCGCUUGUUGGCCUAAUUUGUGACCCUAUAAUACUCACAAGCUAGCUUUUCGUUCCGUUAAAUGCACCUUUCCUAGUUACAGUUUCAUGCAUAAAGGCUUCAAGUGCUUAGAUCCCUCUACCGGCAGAAUUUAUAUCUCCCGAGAUGUUGUUUCGAUGAAUCGAUCUUUCCGUUUGCUCACUUACAUCCCAAUGCAGGCGCCCUUCUCAGUAAAGAGAUUCUUCUUUUACCUGACCAUCUUCGUAAUCCGGGGGAUGUAAGUUGCAUAGACAAUAUUACUAUACUACUGACCGUUUGCAUGAUAGCAAUGCGCAAGAUGUUUUUCAGGGGAAACUGUCACCGGGCUGGGCGCACGGUGACGCAGAAAAUCACGGCGGCACAUUCCAGGAGGAUUUGAUGCCAGGUGCCGACGGUCCAGGCGCUGACUCCCAGGGAGAUUCGGCGGCAGCAUCCGUUUUGCUCCCCUCCUUCCCAGCAAUGCCCAUCUCGCCGAAUACAUCUCCAACGCGUGGCUCCACGACAUGCCCAGCGCCCGCACCCGGCACUCCUCCGUCGCCGCAUGGCCCCGCACCUGGCCAAUCGCCUGCGCUAGCCGCCGGGAGUCCGACGCGUGGGGGGGGGGGUACCCAUCUAUCGCGCCAGACAGUCUCCCACCCGUGCCUGCUGCCCCGAAUCGUGCUAGCGCUGGAUCCUCUGCGGGAAGCAGAUCCGGUGUGGAAUCUAUGCCUGGUCAGGCCAGUUCUUUGGCGCUGGCUGCCCCUGCACCGUCUGUUUCACUGCCAAGACAACGGACACGGCUUCAAAGUGGAUUACGAAACCUACAUAGUUCCAGGACAUGAUCAGGUAUGGGUUGUUCUUAGCUUCUGCGGAACCACAGGAUUUUCAUGAAGCUCUAAAUGAUUAUAGAUGGAAAAAAGGCUAUGCAAGAUGAAUUUGAUGCUCUCAUUAGAAAUCAAACUUGGCACUUAGUUCCUGAAAUAAAGGGUAACAAUAUUAUUGAUUGCAAGUGGGUAUUCAAAAUCAAGAAAAAAUCAGAUGGUACCAUAGAUAGAUAUAAAGCAAGGCUAGUUGCAAAGGGUUUUCAGCAACGGUAUGGCAUUGAUUAUGAGGAUACUUUCAGUCCAGUGGUUAAGAUUGCAACUGUCAGGCUUGUCCUCUCAAUUGCUAUUUCGAAAGGGUGGUGUCCAAGAUAGUUAGAUGUAUAGAAUGUGUUUCUUCAUGGUGUUCUGGAAGAAGAAGUUUAUAUGAGGCAACCUGCAGGAUUUGAAAAAGGAGCUUUGCAUCUUGUGUGCAAAUUGGACAAGGCUAUCUACGGCUUGAAACAAGCCCCGCGAGCUUGGUAUGCUAAGUUAUGUUCCAAACUUAUUGCACUUGGAUUUGUUGCAUCUAUAUCAGACACUUCGUUAUUCAUCUAUCAAAGAUUGGGUGUCAUAAUUUAUAUGUUGAUUUAUGUUGAUGAUAUAAUUGUGACAAGUUCGUCAAGUGAAGCUGUUACGACGUUGCUUGCUGAUCUCAAGAAGGAUUUUGCUCUAAAAGAUCUGGGGGACCUCAGUUACUUCCUGGGUAUUGAAAUUAAAAGAGAAAAGAAUACUCUGCUGCUAACACAAGAAAAGUAUGCAAAGGAGAUUUUGUCACGGGUUGGUAUGGAGAAUUGCAAACCAUCAUCUACACCAUUGUCUACUAGUGAGAAACUUUCAAAGUAUGAAGGGGAGUUGCUGAAUUCAAGCGGUAGUACGAGGUACAGAAGCGUCGUUGGUGCAUUGCAAUAUCUCACUCCUACCUGACCGGAUCUAGCAUUCUCUGUGAACAAAGUGUGUCAAUUUCUACAUGCUCCUACCACGGUUCAUUGGACUGCUGUAAAAAGGAUACUUCGGUAUGUCAAGUUCACAUUGGAUCUUGGACUAAAUUUUCAGGCGUCAUCCUCCACCUUGGUUAUUGCUUUCUGUGAUGCUGAUUGGGCAGGAAGUGUUGAUGAUAGAAGAUCUAUCGGAGGGUUUGCAGUUUUCUUUGGUCUGAACUUGAUUUCUUAGAGUGCUAGAAACCAAGCCACUAUCUCAAGAUCAAGUACAGAAGUUGAAUACAAGUCUAUGGCAAAUGCAACUGCAGAGUUAAUAUGGUUGGAAUCCUUGCUAAAGGAGCUGGGUAUACGGCUGCAUCAACCACCAUGUUUACAGUGUGACAAUUUGGGAGCUACAUAUUUGUCUGCCAAUCCAGUCUUUCAUGCGAGAGCAAAGCAUAUAGAAAUUGAUUUUCACUUUGUUCGCGAGCGUGUGGUUAAUAAAAAGCUGCAGGUGCUGUUGGUUGCUUCCAGAGACCAGCUUGCGGACUGUUUACCAAAGCCUUGCCGUGCGGAUUGCUGGAAGCUUUCAAGAGCAAUCUAAAUAUCAAAAGGAAGAGAAGUUUAGAUUGAGAGGGACUGUUAGAAGAACCGUCGUAUGAGACGAUGAUUGUAUCUUAGAGAUAAGAGUUGUUAUGGUUUGAGUUGGCCGGCUAGUAGAUAGAGAUAGAAUCUUGAUGUAUUUGAAUGCUGGUUAACUCUAUCUGUAACAACAUGCAUUGUAAUCUAUUGGGACCUUCCCCCUAUAUAAACGUGCAACCACGGUGAGCCAAGAUAGGGCAACCGUGUUCAACUCUUUUGACACUGCUUCGUUAAGCUUUGUUGAGAACUCAUAAACUCACAUAGUUCUCCUUUGAGUAUUGUUCCUAACUAAAGAGUAAACAGGUAAAAGCUCGGUGCCCGGAACCGACUCAGAACACUCGAGGCUUAACUUAGUUGGAGUUUAGCUAUUACCAUUGCCAGUGACCAGCCUCGAGCCCCUCUAGAAGCAAGGUGAUGCGAGGGUGCGAGUUUUACUAUAAGAGGUGUCCCUAUAGAACGUGCGAGGUUAAAGGUGUUCCGUUACUUUUCCUGCCGACGCAUAACUUGCAAGGUUAAGGGGUUUUUAUCCCACAAACGGUGCUCCAGGAUGUUCAGAUUUUUGGGAUCCCCAACAAACAGCAAUCUUGAGUGGCUCUAAAUUGUUGUUGGCCACAUCAUACCUUGUCUUGGGCUGCUGGGUCGUGUUGUGCACCACGAGUGCACGAUCAGACAUCCUGCACUGUUAAGUCUUCGAUGAUACGGCUGCCUUGCUUCCUCAGCUUGUCAGCAACUGCUUCUUGACUGCUACAGUACAAUUAUUGCAUGGUAUCAAGGUAAUAUAUAUAGUGACUGAAUGAGCACAUAUAACAUAUGCAUUUAGGCCUCCAACUGGUCAUUGCACGAGCUGCCUCCUCUCCUUACCUCUGAAUUAUGGAGCCAUAUCCAACAACAACCUUGACAGUGAUGAUGAUGACGACGAUGAUGAAAUUAAGAAAAGAAGCUUUAUGCAAAUUGCAAAAAGCUGAAAAAGUGGUUGAAACAUUUCAAAUCACCAAAUGCCACAUUUGAAAUGACUAGAUGAAACAUCACGAAAUCAAUUGCAACAGUUGAAGAUGAAAACAUUCAAACGCCUUGCCUUUCUCCAGAUUUGACCCUCCAAGCAUAUAUGAGUCCAGCCAUUUGCACAUUAGACCCUUGGGAGGAGCUCACCGGAGAACAACAAGACCGUGUUCUCCAACAAUUUUCCGAUCAAAUUGCAACAUAAAAAAGAAAGCAUUGCAACACAUCUGGCAUCGCGAGCUACAACAUCAACCAGUUAGGAUUAGGAGAAAGAGGGCAAACCCAAGCCUAGCAAUGAGUUAUAUCCGGUUUAAACGAGGAUAAAAAUGAGUGUAUUUUCCACUCAUCAUGUUGUCUUUUCGCAGCUGUACCGCCUUUAGUAUGUUGUAUUGUUCCCCUAACACCAAGUCUCCGAGGCCCGAGAAAAUAAGGAAAGUGAUAGCAGCCCAGAAAUCGACCAAGUUUCUUUCCCCCUUUGGCAUUCCUACUAGGAUUCGGAAUACUCUUUCGCAUGACAAUCAUAAUUAUCUCCCAUAAUCCAAAACUCACAAAAACAUCAAAAAUCCGCCGAGAAUAAAUUAAGUAAAAAACAUGCACAAACAAAUAAUAAUAAUAAUCAUGUUUCAAUAAAAUUGCUAAGGCCAGAGACAAUACAUAAACAUAUUAGACUGUUCAUGACACAUAUCACGGUGGACAGUGUCUAUGUCCUUAUUACAAGCAGCGAGAGGAAUUAAAUAUGCUUGACACCACACACACGAGCGCACAGAUGCACGACACACAUAUAGUUGAGACCAACAGAUGGACCUCGACUAGAGGUCGCCUCAUAUGGUGAACAAUUUAUUGGAGAUAAACAUGAACAUAACUUGGCCAUAGCUUGAAGCAUAGCAACAUAUGCCUAUGAAUGGCAUUCAUGCUGGUAGCAAUGCAAUCAUAUCGUUUUAGGCUUGUCCAGCUUCUUCCAUCUUAGCAAGCACUGCCAUUUCUUCCAUCUUAGCAGCAACUGUCAAAUUGAGAUAUGGUAUCCCAUUAGCGUAUGAGUUAAUUUUGCACUGGAAAUAGAGUACAAGAUGUCUUCAUGAUGUAAGUAAUAUGCCUGAAGUUGUGAGAUGGGAAGUGAAGUCAACAAAUUACAUUAACGGAAAUGCAUGGAAGGCCACACAUACGUAUUAGUCCACGAUAUGCUACAAAGCUUGUAUGUACAUAUAACAAAUUAAAUGCAUUGAAUAGAGUGAGUUUACUGAAUUUACCAGAAUCGGACAGAACACAUGGGAAACAGCAAGUGUUCUUGCAGAGUGAGUCGGAGCCACCUGCAGUAAUACAAGCAAAACAACAUGCUUUUGCCCGGGCGGAUACGCAGCAGCUGCACUGUGCCGCGGUGGCCGGGUUAACAUUGAGGCUCAAGAUGACCAGGCACAUGAUCACCAUCAAAGCGGUAGUCCUCUUUCCCUCCAUUGCCUCCUCUUGCUGCUACCUUCCUUGGUUACCUAGCUAAGUUUAUUGGUUUUGUGUUGAGAGGUGAUUCUUGAAUGGACGUUGCCGGCUGCAAUUUAUAGGCAGCUGCGCUAUGUGAUGAUAUGGACAAGGUGCAAAUGGGUGGUCCAAUGGCAAGGAAAGGGGGUAUUCUGCUUGACAUUGGCAUCAGACAAAGCCCAAUGGCAACUGCUGACACGCGAUUAAAAUCAGAUCCACAUCUUAUCCAGCCAUUCACUAAUAAUUAAACUAAACCCACGCGGUCCGCGAGAUGCAGCGUCCAUGCAUAGCACUUCCCGCAAACAAUAGGAAAAAUUAGAAUUCAGAGAUAGCAGCUGCUUGCAUGAAACACGGUUGCACAGAAAUCAGUGGUGCUUGGACGGUAAGUAGUGUGGUGUACAAGCUUAAAGCGGCAGUGAGUCACGUUGGUGUAACAAGCAGUACAUCAGCUGGAAGAUUGAUAUGUCUAUUGCCCACGCAGCAUAGCAUUUUAUUAUGAUACAUUGAGUUAUGUCAUAUUGUUACUUUAAGUUAUUUUUUAAGUAUUAGUUGUAGACAAUUUAGUUGCAAAUUUAAGCGGUUAUUUUAAAUUAUUUUUUAUAAUGGAAUAAGUGGGUAAUUUAGAUGAAGAUUAGGGGGUUACUUUAGCUUAUUUUAUAUAAUAGCAGAGGUGGGUAAUUUAGAUAUAAAUUUAGACACGUUUAACAAAAUGUAUCUACAGUUUCUGACACGGUCCGUGUGGAGACGCUCCAGACAUGCUUUACUCAAGCGCAUCUAUACUUCAGUAGAAAUGAAAUAAAGCGUAUCUAACAUAGGAAUAAAGUGUAUCUAGAGGAGGUUUUUCUUGUAGCGAGGGAUGAACCAUUAUUGGACGAACUGGCACACUUGCUUCUACCCGCUCCCCCACACCCCACAACCGCCCCCAGUGUGAGCGUCCAAGUCUCGAUCGUUGCUCGCGUUAAGCGGUGCCGCCGCACUGCACCACAGCGACAGAAGCCACACCACCGGCUGCAUGUGACAGCGGGGAGCACCCUCACCACCUGCCCGCGGGGAGCGCUUACGCCAGCCAUAGUGUCCCCGUAGAACCGCCACGCGAGCAUGUGAGCCACCGACCGCCGUGCCCCCAAGGGCCAUCACCGCGCUACCCGAGGAUGUUGUCUACCCGGUGCCACGCGCCUCUGCUAGGUGCCUGCACCUGGGCCGCCACCGGUCGCCUGCACAGCCACGUGUUGCAGCUGCCCCCUGCGCUGAGCCACCCCAUUAAACGUUGGAAGAACCACCUGAGUCUCGCACGCCGAGGUCUUGCUGGUGACGACCAUGGCCUCCGCGAUCAUAUGAAAAAGUUGUCAACUACAAAGUAUUAGGCCUCGUCGAGCUCUACAAUUUUGAUCGAAAGUUUCUAUUCAUCCGAGAUCAAAUGAAAAAGUUGGUACUCAAAAUAUACAUCCAUUAAUCUAGUCGUGCUAAUCCUUACCACAAAUUAAAAAACUAGCAUGUGUCGUGUGUUUGUGACCCUAAACAAUCACAAACGAAUAACUUAUCAACUUCAAAAUUUAGCUGAUCAGGAGUCUAGGCAACCUCAAGGGUAUAAAUAUGUGCACCCUGAGGCUUGCAAGAUUUUAUCUCUCGAUUAAUCAAUGCAAUUUUUGGGCGCCACGCAGCCAAACCCUUAGGAGUAGAAGUAACGUAGCUUUUUGAUGAGUAUCUUCUUGCGCGCAGGGCUGCAUCAGCUUCGAUAUCCGACGAACUUGUAAGUACCGUCAUCCGGUCAUUACGUUAUCUAUAUUAAAAGUUUCUAGGCAUCAUCCAAUAUUCUAAUCUUUUAUCGUGUGGCUAAUUAUCGAGUUAUCUUAUAUUGUAAAUAAAACUUGCUAGGGUUUGUCCAAUAUUCCAUUUGUUUUCAGCGUUACUGCUUAAUUAGAUCUGCUUAGGUUGUUCUCAUCGGCUUCUAGUCUUGUUUAAACGUUCACAAGUUAUUUGAUCGUAUCGGCAAGUUCGACCUUGCAUGCUUUUAUCGCUUUAUCUAUACUAGGUCCGAUAGAUCUUUACCCCUUCCCCUUGUAUUGCUAGCAGUUGGAUCCAUAACGUUAGAACGAUACUGUUGAGAGCUGAUGCAUUGAUUUAGUAUCAUCCAUAUCUCAUAGAAUGUAUCAUGGUUAAUGGCAAUUUAAUGAAAUUAUAAAGGAUAAUAACAAUCGUGCUUUCGGCGUUCCAAAAAUCAAUCAAGAAUUCAUCAUGGUUGUGCAGUGUAUGGAAACCUUAUGGUAAUAGUUAGAUGGGAAAUGUUGUAUUAUGUAAUAAAUCCAGGUACUUCACAAAUCAUGAUCGAUGGAUGUCUAACACUGUUGAAAGAGAUUGGAAUAAAGCAGACUCACCUCAGACUAUGCACCAUGUCUGAGUGACCCACCUCACCUUGCCAGGUCACUGGUCUUGCCAGCACACAAGCUAUGAUGUUGCCAGGAGUGGUCAGUACACAAAUCUAGCUACCAGUCGGAUCGAAGGGCAGGCAUUUGCAUUGUGGUUGUGCUUGAACAUGGAGAUGUCUUGCGAUUGUCACGCACCAUACAUCCUCUCUCAGUUUCACUCCGCCUCACACACGGAUAGGACACCAGGGACCCGACACCAUGCAUGCCGAUUUCAUAUUAUUAAUAUUUAUUUUUUGAAUGGUUGUUGAAACUAUAUAUAUAGUUAGUCCAAUCUCACGUUUCCGAUUAUAAAAAUUAACAUAAAGAGAUCGGAAGGGAGAGCACUAGAGCCGGCAUUUAUACAAACUGGUAUGAAUAGUAAAAUCUAGAAUUCAUAAAUAAAAAAAUGAUUUGCACAUCUAUGCAAUAAUUAGUGGUUAGUGGUAGGUCUAGAGAGAUAUCUCAUCAAAUCGAUGAGUUAUAUCCGGUUUAAACGAGGAUAAAAAUGAGUGUAGUCUUUUCGCAGCUGUACCGCCUUUCCUUUCGUGUGUUCUAUUGUUCCCCUAACACCAAGUCUCCAAGACUCAAGAAAAUAAGGAAAGUGAUAGCAGCCUAGAAAUCGACCAAGUUUCUUUCCCCCUUUGGCUUUUCUACUAGGAUUCGGAAUCCUCUUUCGCAUGACAAUCUUAAUUAUCUCCCAUAGUUCAAAACUCACAAAACUAUCAAAAAUCCACCGAGAAUAAAUUAUGUAAAAACAUGCACACACAGAUAAUAAUAAUAAUAAUCAUGUUUCAAUAAAAUUUCUAAGGCUAGAGACAAUACAUAAACAUAUUAGACUAUUCAUGACACAUAUCACAGUGGACAGUGUCAGUAUCCUUAUUACAAGCAGCGAGAGAUGCUUGUCACCACACACACGCGUGCACAGAUGCACGACAUACAUAUAGUUGAGACCAACAAAUGGUUGCCCCAUAUGGUGAACAAUUUAUUGGAGAUAAACAUUAACAUAACUUGGCCAUAGCUUGAAGCAUAGCAACAUAUGCCUAUGAAUGGCAUUCAUGCUGGUAGCAAUGCAAUCAUAUCGUUUUAGGCUUGUCCAGCUUCUUCCAUCUUAGCAAGCACUCCCAUUUCUUCCAUCUUAGCAACAACUGUCAAAUUGAGAUAUGAAAAUUCCAUUAGCACAUGAGUUAAUUUUGCAGUGGAAAUAGAGUACAAGAUGUCUUCAUGAUGUAAGUAACAUGCCUGAAGUUGUGAGAUGGGAAGUGAAGUCAACAAAUUACAUUAACGGAAAUGCAUGGAAGGCCACGCAUGCAUACGUAUUAGUCCACGAUAUGCUACAAAGCCUUCUAUGUACAUAUAACAAAUUAAAUGCAUUGAAUAGAGUGAGUUUAGUGAAUUUUACCGGAAUCGGUCAGAGUACAUGGGAAACAGCAAGUGUUCUUGCAGAUGAAGUCGGGGCUACCCGCAGCAAUACAAGCAAAACAACAUGCUUUUGCUCGGGUGGAUACGCAGCAGCCACACUGUGCCGCGGUGGCCGGGUUAACAUUGAGGCUCAAGAUGACCAGGCACAUGAUCACCAUCAAAGCGGUAGUCCUCUUUCCCUCCAUUGCCUUCUCUUGCUGCUACCUUCCUUGGUUACCUUGCUAAGUUUAUUGGUUUUGUGUUGAGAGGUGAUUCUUGAAUGGACGUUGCCGGCUGCAAUUUAUAGGCUGUGUGAUGAUAUGGACAAGGUGCAAAUGGGUGGUCCAAUGGCAAGGAAAGGGGGUAUUGGCAUCAGACAAAGCCCAAUGGCAACUGCUGACACGCGAUUAAAAUCAGAUCCACAUCUUAUCCAGCCAUUCACUAAUAAUUAAACUAAACCCACGCGGUCCGCGAGAUGCAGCGUCCAUGCAUACACUUCCCGCCAAACAAUAGGAAAAAUUAGAAUUCAGAGAUAGUAGUGUGCCAGCAGCUGCUUGCAUGAAACACGGCAAUCAGUGGUGCUUGGACGGCAAGUAGUGUGGUGUACAAGCUUAAAGCGGCCUUGUGUAACAAGCAGUACAUCAGCUGGAAGAUUGAUGUCUAUAGAGGCUUGUUAUUAUCUUUAAUUCCACAUACUGCACAAUGUCAAAGUAAAAUGCGAAAGGAUAACAAGCUGAUACAGAGUGAUUGGAUUUACUUGAGGAGUAGCUUGAAGAAACAUCCAGCAACAACAGAAAAGUCAAAGUAUCGAGCCCAUGAAGCUAUAAAGCAGAUUGUAUUGGCUAGAAGAUUCAGGACGCUGGACUUACAAAAGUUGGAAGCAUGACAUUCAUACUCCGAACUUAGGGGCCUGUGUUCACACUGGAUGAUUUUAGCCGGUGAAAUCCCUUGUUUCGCAUUUUUCAUCAGGUCCCAAUGCCCAUGCAGCAUAACAUUUUAUUAUGAUACAUUGAGUUAUGUCAUAUUGUUACUUUAAGUUAUUUUUUAAGUAUUAGUUAUAGGCAAUUUAGUUGCAAAUUUAAGUAGUUAUUUUAAAUUAUUUUUUUAUAAUGGCAUAAGUGGGUAAUUUAGAUGAAGAUUAGGGGGUUACUUUAGCUUAUUUUAUAUAAUGGCAGAGGUGGGUAAUUUAGAUAUAGAUUUAGGGGUUACUUUAGGCUAUUUUCUUAAUGGAAUAGGUGGGUAAUUUUUUUAGAAAAUAUAAUAGAUCCAAUGGCUACGAUGAUUUGAGUCUAAUGAUUGAUGGCAAGAUGUUUUGCUUGUUUGUGGGAAUUUUAAAUAUUUCUCUUUUUUCUAGAGUGUCCACCUAGAAUGCUAGGUGGUUUCACUUGGAGGCUUCAAAAGGAGCUUCCAAAUUAGUAAUAGUAAGAUUUUCUCAAAAGAGACUUGAUUCUACCACUAUAACUUGAUUGGCCGCCCCGGCCUCUACCUUUGCCUCCAUUUGACUAUUUGAGUUGGCUGUCAACGAUUCACGGUGCUGGCAACAUUACGUUUGAUCCAAAUGCCACUACUCAUGUGCGCCAGCUGUAUUCUACCAAGUGGCAUGUGGGAAUGCCAUGAUGCAUGUGCAGUAACAGCGUGCACAUCUUGUAGGAUUCGCACCUCGUUUUCACUAUUGUAUCAUCUUAGCGAUUAGGAGCGAAGUGUGCUUUGGGGUUGCAAUUGGGAUAUAGACCUUAUUCUCGAAGAGAAUCUUAAAAGCUUACAUUCGCCCCCUCCGGUCGCCCGUGUUCCGAUCCUUCACCUAUAAAUUAGGAGUAGCAGGUAGUAAGUGGCAGGUUAGAUAAGUACUCGUUGAUGAAUGUUGACUUGGCGUGAUCGGCUCUGCUAUUUUCACGAAGAUGCCAAUAUUGAAAGCACAUCCACCAUUUCUGCGGAUGUGAGGGAUGAACUAAUUAAUUGUUUCUUGUCCAUUAUUGCACCGUACCUCCCAUUUUCCCGUUUUCCAAACAAUUAAAGGUACCCUUACGUUACGCUUGAUCCAAAUGCCACCACUCAUGUGCGCAAGUGGCAUGUGGUAAUGCCAUGAUGCAAGUGCAGUAACAGCGUGUACAUCUUGCAUGAUUCGCGCCUCGUUUUCACUAUUGUAAUCUAUAAAGAAACAAACAAAAAACAAAACGAUGGAUGGAUCAGCUCGGGAUCCAAUAAUCGAGAGGAAUUCAAGGAAAAAGAAAAAUUUGGGAUCACGUGUGCGGAUCCUAAUAACAAUAUAUAGUAGGACAUCUCCAUGCUCACCUAGUAGCCACUACUAGUGCGCCGGCCCAGUUGGCGCUAAGACAUCGUACGUGCAUUAAGGGGGUGUUUGGAUACUGGACGCUAAACUUUAGCAGUGUCACAUCGGAUGUUCGGAUGCUAAUUAGGAGGACUAAACAUGAGCUAAUUAUAAAACUAAUUGCAGAACCCCUGUGCUACUUCGCGAGAUGAAUCUAUUAAGGCUAAUUCAUCCAUCAUUAUCAAAUGGUUACUGUAGCACCACAUUAUCAAAUUAUGGACUAAUUAGGCUUAAUAGAUUCAUCUCGCGAAUUAGACUCCAUUUGUGCAAUUAGUUUUGUAAGUAGUCUAUGUUUAAUACUUCUAAUUAGCAUCCAAACAUCCGAUGUGACAGGUGCUAAACUUUAACAGUGGGGAUCCAAACGGGGCCUAAGUCUGUGGUGCCCAACGAUCUCUUUCUUCUAACUCAUGCUUGACUGUGACGGUGCUAUUAUAUAUUAUUGCAUGAUCAUCAGGAUAAGAUCGUAUAGUGACUGAGUGAGACAUGUAUGUACUAACUUGCAUUUAUCCAAGAAGAGGCACAUGAGUAGUGGUGCAUGCAUCCACACCUUGGCAUGCUGCAAACUUUUAUGGGUCCAUAUGUAUAGCCAAGUAAACUAUUUUAUCCUGCUGCAAGCUGCAGACAUAAGUUUAUUUAACCUUUGUUCACAAUCACUUCCACUGUCGUCGCAAUUGCCAAAGACAAGCUCACCAAUGCUAUUGCGGAGCAGGCCAAUUUCCUGUGGAACUUCGGCGACGACCUGAAGGACAUGAACUCGGUGCUGGAGUCCAUCUCAGCAGCGCUUCAGGACGCUGACACCGGUAGAAAAACGACAUUCCAUCCUCAACAAAAAUCCUAGCAUCCUCUACUCAGUCAGAUGUACUGUGUAGGUGAGAUGGUAAGGAAGCUAUGCGCGAGGCUUGAGGUCGUGAGUUCGAAUCCCAUGCACCACGCACGCACGCGCAUAUUUCGCGUGACUUGUGAUCAGCCAAGGAGAAAUGGGUGCAGCUGUUGCUUAAGUGCCUGAGGCACACUGCCAUAGACAUCUCGGAUUUGCUCGAAGACUACCAAGAAACUAGGAACCCUUAACAGCAAAGGUGAGUACUUAUGUAUGUCAGCAUCUAUGUUGUCCAUGCUUCCAAUGCAAUAACACGAAGGACUACUCUUCCUAGCGGACUCUUCACAAUCACUCGUAAAGGUAUGCGUUUCUCAAUGCAAUUUCAUAGAAGGCAAUCGAUCCAACCAAGCGACUAAAUCAUUCGUCCUUGCCAAUGAUGUGCAUCAGGUUUUCUAUAUGAAGGGCAUGUCUAGCAAACCCAAGAUUUCAGAACAAAAGAAAAAUCAUGUGAGCCAAAGCGCCACAUUGUUCUUCCAAGUAAAAAAAAUCAUGGGAGUCAAGAACAAAUCAGACCAAUCAGGGGAUUAUUGUCAGCUUGAUGGCAUGCCUCCAUUCGAUGUCGAAGUUGACCCAAGCAUCAUGUUAGCCAAAGUUCAAAUGUUCGUGCGUUGCUAUGGUAAAUAUCAAUUGUGUUUUUUAAACUCAUGGAUUUUUUUAUCUAAGUUUUUAUUACACUUAUUGGAUGUCUACACAUUUGCUAGAAAACCAAAAUAAUUUUGACUUAAUUAUUUCUUUCAACUCAAAUACUCAUUAAAUUUCUACGUUUUUAUUUAAGCAAGAGAGUUGCUACAAAAAAAUGGAUACGUAACCAUAUUGUAUCAUACAAAGCAACCACAUUUCACAUAUAGUCCGGCUUUGCAAACACCAUUGUUAUCUGAACAUAGCAUACAUGAGUUAGUAGACAUGGAUAUAUUUCUAAUUGCAAGUAGCAUAUAACCAGCCUGCACCGACGCAGCUCAAUAUGCGAUAAUUUUUAUCUUCCCAUGUAAUUUUUCUACUCUAGUACAUAUUGAACUCCACAUAAAUGUGAUCUUUCACGCCACAUACGGUUCCUAAAGUUUGGAAACUAAAUAGAUAGCCAGAAAUUUUUUAGAAAGUAUUUAUAUGGAUACAUGUAUGUUCUUCGCAAACUAACAGUAUUGUUUACCAAUAUCAAAAGGAAUAUGGCUAGGAUCAUUGCCGCAUAUGGCAGGUGAUGGUAAAGUUAUCAACUGCAAAGUAUUAGGCCUCGUUGAGCUCUACAAUUUUGAUAUAAAGUUUCUAUUCAUCCGAGAUCAAAUGAAAAAGUUGGUACUCAAAACAUACAUCCAUUAAUCUAGUCGUGCUAAUACUUACCACUAAAUGAAAAACUAGCAUGUGUUGUGUGUUUGUGACCCUAAACGAUCACAAAUGAAUAACUUAUGGGCGUUGCUAGCGCCCGAACGUAUGGUCCGGGGUGCUAGCAUCGGAUGCACGAGCAGCCGUCCGAUCAGGUCCGACACCACUUCAGGAUCUGGCUCAAAAAAAAGUCCCACCGAAACAUUGUUCCAUGUUGCAUAAAAUAUCCCACUAUCCAUUGCUGGGUCUAGAGCAAGCACCAGCUUCCAAUAUGCUGCUCACCCAAGCUAAAUAGGGGCAUUAAAAUUGCAGAAAUAUGUCGCAUAUCCUUCUCAAAUUAAACUAAAUCGCAACAUCCGAAAAUUUCUUACACAAAACCAUGAAACAUAUCGAUUAGAUAGGUGUAACAAGAUGAAAUAUGGUAUGCAACAUAUAGAUUCUGAAAAACAGAUGAAACAUUAUUUAAUGAUUGUUGAAACAGUCGAGAAAAAUAGAUGUAACAUCUAAAAUUAAGAAAAGAAGCUUCAUGCAAAUUGCAAAAAGCUGAAAUAAGUGGUUGAAACAUUUCAAAUCACCAAAUGCCACAUUUGAAAUGACUAGAUGAAACAUCACAAAAUCAAUUGCAACAGUUGAAGAUGAAAACAAUCAAAUGCCUUGCCUUUCUCUAGAUUUGACCCUCAAGCAUGAGUCCAGCCAUUUGCACAUUAGACCCUUGGGAGGAGCUCACCGGAGAACAACAAGACCUUGUUCUCCAACAAUUUUCCGAUCAAAUUGCAACAUAAAAAACAAAGCAUUGCAACAUCUGGCGGUAUCAUGAGCUACAACAUCAACCAGUUAGGAUCAGGAGAAAGAGGGCAAACACAAGCCUAGCAAUGAGUUAUAUCCGGUUUAAACGAGGAUAAAAAUGAGUGUAUUUUCCACUCAUCAUGUUGUCUUUUCGCAGCUGUACCGCCUUUAGUGUGUUGUAUUGUUCCCCUAACACCAAGUCUCCGAGGUCCGUGAAAAUAAGGAAAGUGAUAGCAGCCCAGAAAUCGACCAAGUUUCUUUCCCCCUUUGGCUUUCCUACUAGGAUUCGGAAUCCUCUUUCGCAUGACAAUCUUAAUUAUCUCCCGUAGUCCAAAACUCACAAAAACAUUAAACAUCCUCCGAGAAUAAAUUAAGUAAAAAACAUGCACACACCAAUAAUAAUAAUAAUCUUGUUUCAAAAAAAUUGCUAAGGCCAGAGAUAAUACAAAAACAUAUUAGACUGUUCAUGACACAUAUCACGGUGGACAGUGUUUGUGUCCUUAUUACAAGCAACGAGAGGAAUUAUAUAUGCUUGUCACCACACACACGCGCGCACAGAUGCACGACAUACAUAUAGUUGAGACCAACAGAUGGAUCGACUAGAGGUGGCCCCAUAUGGUGAACAAUUUAUUGGAGAUAAACAUUAACAUAACUUGGCCAUAGCUUGAAGCAUAGCAACAUAUGCGUAUGAAUGGCAUUGAUGCUAUCGUUUUAGGCUUGUCCAGAUAAUAAUAUCUGGUUUUAAGCAUAACAUGGUUUUUACUUAAUUUAUCUGUGCGUGCGAUAAUAAACCAGAUAAUAGCUUGAAACAUGUUGUGCAUUGGCACCACACGCACGAGAAUAAAUUAAGUAAAAAACAUGCACACAUAGAUAAUAAUAAUAAUCAAGUUUCAGUAAAAUUGCUAAGGCCAGAGACAAUACAUAAACAUAUUAGACUAUUCAUGACACAUAUCACGGUGGUCAGUGUCUGUGUCCUUGUUACAAGCAGCGAGAGAUGCUUGUCACCACACGCACGCGUGCACAGAUGCACAACAUACAUAUAGUUGAGGCUGCAAUUUAUAGGCAGCUGCGCUAUGUGAUGAUAUGGACAAGGUGCAAAUGGGUGGUCCUGAUAUGGAUAAGGUGCGAAUGGCUGUCUACUUGUAUUGUGUAGCUCCAAUGUACGUAUGUAUCUUAUACAUGUAUACAGUUGAUGGAUAAGGUAUACAGUCUUUGUUACCAAGUAAUUUUACUUUCGCACGUUUCAGCCGAGAGGCAGAAGAGAAUAUUUUACAGAGAGGGCAGAGAAGGAGGUUGGUAGGGUUCCCCGUGUCGCCAAGAUUUUUGCAUUUUACAUGUGUGUAUAGAUCACUUCGUCGUGCGGCGCCCUACUCCAGGUUGUACCCCAGCAGACCACGUUCUGUUUCUCUGCCUCCACAAGGACCACAAGACUUAGUAAAAAAAGCUAAACUUUGCAACACGAUGUAUACAGAAUUAGUAGCUAGAUCUAUAUAUGAAAUUCAUCCUAAAACUGAUAGGUGGAGAGAAGUAAAAAAUACCAAUUUGAUUUCCUAUCUGAUUAGAGGAAAUAUGGAUGGAUCGGUCGCAAUUAGCGAAGUGGCUCCAAUUGACAUAAAAGGUGUGCAUUGCAUUCAGCAAGAAAAAUUGAGUUUCUACUGAAUCUAUGAAAAAAAAUGAGCUUACGUUAUCAUAUAUAGGCAUAAAUUAAAAUGACAAGAAAUUCCAACCACGGUAUAUAAGACCAAUAAUUGGAAAGAUGGAUGAAAGGAAGAUAGGGUUUAAAUUAAAGUCUCCGCAUAGGCAGUUUGACUAUGAUCAAUUUUACCUGUAUUUCUCAAUAUGUAGAUAAUUCUAUGCCAACAAUUAAAAACUAAUACAUAAUUUGACACGGUGCACCUUGAGAACGUUUUGAAAAUGUACUCUCGUUACGCGUUCACCUCCUUAACAAUAACUGCGACUGUAAAAUAGGUACAUCGACGCUAGCUAAAUAAACAACUAUAAGAUUUAGCAAGAGAUCAUUUUAUACAAUCCUGUAACGAAAGAAUUUGACAAUUAUAUUGUCCAUAUAUUUUGACGAAAAACGUCUAAAUUAUAUAAGGUGGGCCCGAAACAGUUGGAUUAGCAUAUGGUUACCCGUUUGUUGUCUUCCGGCCCUAAAAAAAGGACCAUCUUACUGAAAAAGGUUCUAUUAGCACAAGUAGAGAACUGACUUUCGAUGCACCCCCUUUUAUCCCGGUUUAAAGUAGGCCCGGGAGAAAAGGGGGUGCGCCAUGGUAGGCAAAAAUAGAGGGGAGAUUUACUCCCGGUUGGUAUUUGCAACCGGGACUAAAGGCCACCCUUUUGUCCCGGUUGGAGCCUCCAACCGGGAAAAAAGGGUGGGUGGACCUUUUGUCCCGGUUGGUGUUACCAACCGGGACAAAUAGUUUACUCCCGGUUGGAGGUUCCAACCGGGAGUAAACUUUUAGUCAUUUUGUCGGCCCUUUUGUCCCGGUUGGAGCCUCAAACCGGGAGUAAACUUUCAAUCGGGACAAAAGGUGUUUCUUUUUGUGUCAGUUGGAGUUUCUAACUGGGAUAAAAACUCAUCCCCAUUAUAUACCAAGACAGAGGUCUUUCUUCCUCCUCCAGCCCGAGCCAGUCCACCACAAAGACAGAGAGCUCAGCUUCACCUACUCUCCGGUGGUGCCGAAGCAAGGGAGGUGCUGCCCGAAUUUUUUUACCCUCAUUUUCGUGGGAAUUUCACUCAGCCAACACAAGUGUUGUGAAGGUUUGCUACUUCAUCCUCGUGUUACGCUUUGAUUUAUGCUUUGGAGAUGGAAAGUUUAUUUGCUAGAAUGUGAUGAAGUAGAAAAUGGAGAGGUACUUUAAGCUAGAAUGUGAGGGAGAUUGAUGUGUCAUAUAUAGUAUGUAUUCUUGCAGUGAUUUAAGAAUGAUGCUACCUUGUCUAGACGGUUUAUCUUAUCAAAUUCAAUAUGGUUUUUCAAAUUCAUACUUAUUGAACUUGCAUACCGUGUUCAUGUCGGCGAGAAUGUUCUACGAGAAAGAGUGGAUACGGACAUCGUGACCGUAUCCCCUUUUUCGUAGAAUCGAACCUCUUUCAUGACGAAGUGCGAUGCCGCCCAGUUGAGAACAUGCUCGCCAGAUGAUCACGGUCUUCAAGUUCAACAAGUUCUGUAGGCAUACCGUGAUCAUCUCGGUAAGCAUGUUCUCCGUGGAGCAGCAACGGACGUCAAGGAGGAGGUUCGAUUUUACGAGAAAGAGAGGCAACAGACAUCGUGGAUGACUGUGUCCCCUUUCUCGUAAAAUCGAACCUCUUCCAUGACGAAGUAUGGUGCCGCUCAGUUGAGAACAUGCUCACCGAGAUGAUCACGAUCUUCAAGUUCAACAAGUUCACCGCUAAGGUAAGAAUUUUUGUACAUAGAUGGCUUCUGCUACUGGAGGAAGUGGCGAUGGUGGGGGCGAUCGUCGUUCCUCUUUCGGCAAGGGGAAAAUCAUAGUUGGCCCUCAGGAUAAGCCGAAGAAAAUGAGCGCGUUGGAGAAAGCAAUGCUUCGUUAUUUGCAGAAACGUCAUGAAGAAGCUGUUGCCGCGGGUCAGGAACCUCCUUUUGGUUGUCGUUAUGCUCCACCCUCAGUCCCGGGUGUUUCACGUCCACUUAGUACUACCAUUUCAGGUGGCACAAAUAAACCACAGGAUGAGGCUGGGUCAGCGGAACCUUCAUCUUCACCGCCCAAGGAUGCUUAAAGUCCUCCUAGAUAAUAACCAGUGGAUGGCUUGUUGUAUUGUAUCAUGUUGUUUGGAUAUUUAAUUUAAAUAUGUGUAUUUGUAUCUAUAUCUAAACUUUCAGCAUUAUUUGCACUACAACGUUUGACAUGCUUUCAAUCAUGAAUCCAUUUUCAAGUGUAAUCAAUUUUCACGCGUAAUCCAUUUUCAAGUGUAAUCAAUUUUCACGCGUAAUCCAUUUUCAAGUGUAAUCAAUUUUCAUGUGUAAUCCAUUUUCAAGUGUAAUCAAUUUUCACGCGUAAUCCAUUUUCAAGUGUAAUCCAUUUUCAUGCGUAAUACGAUGCAGAUGGACCGGCAAUGGAUGUAUAAUGCAGACAGACGGAGCAAGGUGUUUAUUGAUGGCUUGCAUUAUUUUCUCGAAGUGGCCAAAGCGAACAAGCCAGAGAAUGGGAUCGUAUGUUGUCCAUGCUUCCAAUGCAAUAACAAGAAGGACUAUUCAAAGGAUUCCUGGGGGACUAUUCACAGCCACUUGUUUAGAUACGGUUUCAUGCCUAACUAUUUGGUUUGGACCAAGCACGGUGAAAGAGGGGUUGUAAUGGAAGAUGGUGAGGAGGAGGAGGAGGAUGGCAACAUUCCGGACUAGGUUGCAGGCCAAGCUUUUGCAGAUACUACAAUGGGCGAGGCUGAUGAAGAUGAGUUUGCAGAAAAUGGCCCUACGAUGACCUUGGUCAGGUGCUACGAGAUGCACACAGAGAUUGCGAAACUGAGAAGGAAGCAGCAAAGUUGCAACGCAUGAUAGAUGAUCACCAAAAAUUGUUGUACCCAGAUUGCCAGCAGGGCCAUAAAAAACUAGGUACGACACUAUAAUUUGUGCAAUGGAAGGCAAAAAAUGCUGUGUCCGAUAAGGCAUUUCAGGGGAUGUUGAACAUUGUCUAGAAGAUCAGGCGAGAUGAUCCUGGUGAUGUCGAGGGGCAGUCUCCCAAGAAGAGAGUUCCCGCGAAGGUGAUGUGGUAUUUCCCUAUAAUACCACGCUUGAAGCGCUUGUUCAGGAACAAGGCAAAUGCUAAGUUGAUGCGAUGGCACAAAGAAGAACAUAUGGAAGAUGAGAUGCUGAGACACCCCGCAGAUGGGGCCCAGUGGAGAUCAAUUAAUAGAGCAUUCCCGAACUUUGAAAGUGAAGCAAGGAACAUAAGGUUUGGUUUAAGUAUUGAUGGAUUCAAUCCAUUCGGUGAGUUGAGUAGUGGCUAUAGUACUUGGCCUGUGACCCUAUGUAUGUUCAACCUUCCUCCUUGGCUGUGCAUGAAGCGGAAGUUCAUUAUGAUGCCGGCGCUUAUCCAAGGCCCAAAACAACCCGGCAAGGGAUAUGGAACAGAGGAGUUGAUCGAGUUUUGUGUUGAUUUUAUUGACUCAAUUGACUCGAUUGGGGUUCCAACUUCACGCCACGAGGGGAGGCUCCGGGGAAUGGGCACCCUUGGAAGGAAAUCAAGUUUGAGCAAUGAUACUGAUUUGUUCGACAAGGCACACUACACUGUUCUGCAAUAGUCAUCCUUUGUGUCUCCCUAUAUCGAGCAGCACAGGCAGAUGGUAGUUUUCCAAAAACCUGACGAAAUCCGAUGCUUGGCUUACACAUCAUCACAUGGAAACUUUUUCCUCCUGGUUGCGCCAACAACUCAUGGGUAACUCUGAGAUUUACCUACAGCUCGCUUGGUUAGCCAGGGGACCUGCUAGCACAAUCGUGAAAUUUCAAGACUAUGAGAUAAAUGGUUAUACAUUUUACACGAGAGCCUAGGACCAGAAAAGCACGAACCAGAAUAGUGGUGUCCGCAUAGAUGCCAUAGAUAGAAAUAAUAACAAGGAGUCGUAUUAUGGUUUCAUACAGGAGAUAUGGGAACUCGAAUACGGACCGCUGUACAUCCCUGUAUUUCUUUGCAAUUGGGUGAAGCUAACUGCCGUAACCAAAGAUCAGUACGGAAUGACAAUAGUAGAUCUGAGCAAGACUGGAUACAGUGAUGACCCAUUCGUACUUGCGAAUGAUGUGCAUCAGGUUUUCUAUGUGAAGGACAUGUCUAGCAAACCCAAGAGAAAUCCAGAAGAGACAUGGGAGCCAAAGUGCCACAUAGUUCUUCCAGGUAAAAGAAAAUCAUUGGAGUCGAGGAUAAAAUAGACGAAUCAGAUGAUUAUGAUCAGUUUGAUGGCAUGCCUCCAUUCGCAGUUGAAGUUGACCCAAGCAUCCUGGUAUCCAAAGAAGAGGCUCCAUACUUACGCCGCGAUCAUGAUCAAGGAACUUUCGUGAAGAAGAAAUUUUACAACGUUGUAUUGUAAUGCGCUAAAUUUACUUGACCUUUGUGAAGUACUUGAUACAAUUUUUAAUUUAACCUAUGUAUGAUUUCAUGUGUUCUUAAAUUUGUUGAGGUGAAGAUUUAUUAGAUAAACAUGAACAAUGUUAACCACACACAUACAUGGAUUAUUUUUGCGCGUUGAAAUUAUUUAAUUGAAUAAUUUCUCGAUCAUUGCGAUGCAGUAAAAUAAUUAUUUUAGAGGCUAAACGAACUGGUAUAGAAUUAAUGACUAAUUCACACUUAUUGUCAAUAUACUUGCUAAUUAAAUAUAUUUUUGCAUAUUCAAAAUAUGUGAAUUUUUUUGUUUUUGCAUCCUGAAAUGCAGUGAAAACAUACAUAAAAUCCUUUUCCAAAAAAUAGGCGGGAGAUGAAAGUGUGGGAAAAGGCACUUUUGUCCCGGGUGCCAAUAGAAACCGGGACAAAAGGACCUUUUAUCCCUGUUGCCAAAAGCAACCGGGAUCAAAGGCCGUCCCUUUUGUCUCGGGUGCCAACGCCAACCGGGACAAAAGGCCCCCUUUUUAUCCCGGUUGACAACUACAACCGGGAUAAAAGGGUAGUUUUCGUUUCCCGCUGGGGACGUACCCUUUUAUCCAGGUUACAGUUAGCAACCGGGAUAAAAGGGGGGGCCCUUUUGUCCCGGUUGGUGUUGGCACCCGGGAUAAAAGGGCCUUUAGUCCCGGGUUCAAUUACGAACCGCGAUAAAAGGGGGGAGGGAUAAAAGGCACUGUAGCCUCUUCUACCACCACCCCACGCUAGUUACGACACUUAGCCAAAUUUUCACCGCUGCCAAGAUCCCGCGCCCUUCCGCCAGCUCCGUCACCGCCCAUCCGCCUCCCUCGCCGGCCGCCGUCGUCCUCGUCGUCCAUCGCCCCGGCCAUCAUCGUCCCGCCGCCCGACCGCCUCGCCCGCGCCCAGACCACCUCCUCCUCCAUCGCCCCGGCCCGCCUCCGAUCCUCCUCCGUCGUGCCCCCUCGACCUCGUCGCAGCCGGCCGCCUCCAUCGCGGGGCCUCGUCCCCGCCUCAGUCAACGCCACAUUCUCUGUCGCCGCCUCAUCACCGCCUCUGUCGCGCGCGCCGCCUCCGUCCCUCGUCGCCGUCCGCCUCCGCCCGUUGUUGCUGUGGCCACCUCGCUCCGUCCCCGCCUCCGCCGUCCCACCGCCCCGGCCGCCGCCGUCCCGCCGUCCCGGCCAUCUCGUCGCCCAGCUAGGCACCGCGUGAGGUCCGCCGGCACUGGCACCGGGAAUGAACAGCUCUUGCUGACGCAAACCCACCGGCUUGCGUAAGCAAGGACCUUUUUUAUUUUUUAGUUAGAAAAUGAAUAGAUAUUAGUAGAUUAGUUAGAAAAUCAAUAGAUAUUUGUAGAUUAGUUAGAAAAUCAAUAGAAAAUCAGUUGAUAAAUUUUGUAGAAAUUCAUUCAAAUUAGUAGGAAUUAGUUGUAAUUUGCUAGAAAUUCCAAUAAAUAUGUUGAAAUUAGUAGAAAUUUGGUAGAAAUUCUUACAAAGUACUACUAAUUUGUUGAAAUUUGUAUAAACAUUCCGAACUUUGUGGGAUUCAUGUUAUUGUAAAAUUAUUAGGCAUUAGUAGAAAUUUUGUAGAAAUUCCAAUAAAUAUGUAGAAAUUAGUAGAAAUUUUGUAGAAAUUCAUACAAAGUACUACUAAUUUGUUGAAAUUUGUAUAAACAUCUUGGAUCAGCGCUUGGUUUGUUGAAAUUUGUAUAAACAUCUCGGAUCAGCGCUUGGGUUGUGUAAGUGUCCGUUUAUCUACAUGUAAAUUUUGCCUCAUAUCAUUAUUUUUUUUGCGUGCGUCACCGUACUAACUUCGUCUUCCAUUUUAUGUAGCAUGCUAAUUCAGACGUGCCGACGAGAGGCGUACCUACAUAUUGGCUUCAUGGGUCCAUCCGUAGUUAACCAAAAACAGAUACAAUUAUCGCCGGAAAAAACCUUGGUGGAAGUAUACAAUUUCCUAGACAAACAAAAAUUCAAGGAUUUCAUACUACUUCCAUACAACUUCAGGUAAGUGUGUGUAUACCGUCUACUUUCGUUGUCUUUUUCCUUACCUGAUUAAUUAGUUAGCUCUAAUAUGCAUGAACAUUUUACGUACGCAGCUUCCACUGGAUCCUUAUUAUAAUUGAGCUUGAAAGAAGCCACGUCACUGUCUUCGAUUCGUUGAGGAAAGAUCCGGUGGAGUACCAAGACAUGCAAGACAUGCUAGGCUUGUAAUAAUUUUGGACCUUUAUCUCUAUGCAAAAGUUUGUUUCCUAAAUUUUAUCCCUGUUACACUAUAUCAUUCAUUAUUCUAAUCCGCAGCGCAUGGAAACAAUUCAUAAGGACACACAAAGGUCCAUUCAAAGAAAAACUUACAUGGAACACAGACUUCCUGGUACGUAUGAAGUCUGCACAUUUAGUACAUUGUAUAACACGAAUAUUUCAUAACUUAUUUUUUUCGACACUGAAGUGCUUAAGACAGGAACUCGGGAAUAAUCUAUGUGGCUACUACAUCUGUGAGCACAUGCACAUUUUUAUGGGACCCAAGGGACUAAAGAUGACGCCGCACAACUUUAAAGUACGUAAAAUAAAACUAUUACUAGUUAAUUAUUUUCUAGCUCCUUAUAUUUAAUUGUUCGUGUAACAUUCACAAAUUUCCAAAUUAUAGAUGUUAAAUAUUCAACAAGGACUCUUGAAGAAAAAAAAGGGUAGCGGCAAUAUGUGAAGGUCUCGUUGGAUUCCUAAUGGACGAGGUGGUAAAUCCACAGGGAGAAUUUUAUUACGAUGGACGACAAUUAGACGCUCCGAGCAACACCUCGACGGGAAGAUUGUAGAUAUAUAGUUUGAUUUGUAUACAUAACACGCGCUAAGAUCGAUUUGUAUAUAUAGGUGAUUUCAUUAUACUAGUUGAAUUGUGUAUAUGAAUUGCGUAUAUAUAGUAAUUGUAUAAUUACAAAUUUCAUUCGUUUAAAUACUAGUUGAUUUCAUUAUAAAAAAAGUCUCAACUACUAAAGGUUAACAAAAGGGCCGCGGUACUACGUACGUGAUGCAUGAAAAUUUAAGAUGCCAUGCAGGAAAAUUUAAAUAGGACUUUAGUCCCGGUUGGGAAACCCAACCGGGACUAAAGGGGCACCCUUUACUCCCGGUUGCUUUUCCCAACCGGGAGUAAAGGGCCUGUCCCGCGCCAACCGGGACUAAAGGGUGACCUUUACUCCCGGUUGAAGGACCCGGGACUAAAGACCCCCCCUUUUGUCCCGGUUGGUUUAUCCCGGAUGGAUUUUCGAGAGAUAUGCACCCUACCAACCGGGACUAAAGGCGAGUUCUCUACUAGUGUAGGCCAUGCAGCCGGCUCUGUGGUACCAAAAAGAAAUUUUUGACAUGGUUUACAUCGAGAACGUUUUGAAACUAGACUUUGGUACGCAGUUCACCUUCUUAACAAUAACGGCGUACAUAGACGCUAUCUAAAUUGACCACUUUAAGAUUUAGCGAGAGAUCUAUUUUUUUAAUCCCGUAGCGAGAUCUAUUUUUAUAAUCGCGUAGCGACUGUACGAAGGACUGAAAAAUAAGUUUGAUUACCGUAUAUAGUUAGCCAACUCGUUAAUGGAAUAAACGAUAGAGUUCUGCGAGGCAGACUAGCCUUUCACACGCACCAACUGAACCAGCUGGCAUGAUGUAUUUGAUCUUACUCCCUUGGUCCCAUGGAAAGGUAGAAAUAACCAUAUAUAGGCAUGUAAUUAUCAGUUAUACUUAUGGGAUACUUAGAUGACUUGAUGUAUGAAUCAAGAAAAUGCAUCGAUCGAGAACUUACGGGGAUCAUCUCAAUAAUUUAGAGACCAUGCGCAUAUAUAUUGUGGAAGGUGUGCGUGAGGGUCGUUAUCUAUAUCCUGUGUUAGAAAAAGAUUGCAUAUAUAGUUAAUGUUUGUCUUUCUUCGGAUGGCACGUUAGCUGACCAUUGACAACAUGUGAUGAUUUUACUAACAUCAAAAUUAGGCAUGCCCCAUUUUUUAAUUGGUGCAUGGAGUGGGAGGUUUUGGUGGGUGAGCAUUGGUGUGCAACUCGUGUGCGUGAGCAUGUGUGCGUAAGAUAAUGUGUUUUGUUAGAAAAAGAAGAUAAUGCCUCUAAACAAUCCAGAAUAGAAGGCGGGCCCUGACGACAAGAUAAUACCUUACGCGGCGAUGUCUCAACGUGUCACCUGGGGCGGCUUUUGCAGUUUCCCCGUACACACACUAAGAGCCUCCGACCCUUUUUUGUCAAACCUUCUCUUGUAGUCAUGCAUAUAUCCAUGAUGAUUUGAGUCUACUGAUUGACAGUUAGAUAUUUUGCUUGUUUGUGAGAAUUUUUAGUUUCUAUUUUUUUAGAGUGUCCACCUAGGAUCCUAGGUGGCUUCACCUGAAAGCUUCAAAAGAAGCGUCCAAAUUAGUAAUCAUAAGAUUUUCUCAAAAGAGACUUAAUUCUACCACUAUACCUUGAUUGGCGGCCCGAGCCUCUACCUUUGUCUCCACUUGACUAUUUGAGUUGGCUCAGAACGGUUCACCGCGCUAGCAACGUUACGUUUGAUCCCAAUGCCACCACUCAUGUGCGCCACCUGUAUUCUACCAAGUGGCAUGUGGUAAUGCCAUGUUUGUUUUAAUUUCGUCCAUCAGCAUUCACAAUGAUAUCAUCACCAUUAUGUAAUUAUCCCACUUUUAAUUUUCUUGCAACUCUGUGAAGUUAACAGUCUCUGAUCAAGUUUCCGAGGAUUGCUAUAUCUUUGUUUAUUAUCUACGGAAGUUGACAGCACAUCCACCAUAAUUCAUGGCCCACCAGACUCUAAGUCCACUGCGAGUAUAUAUUAAUUUGUUUUAAUCCGACUAUACUAGAUGUGUACCAAUCAUUCGAUAUGAGGGACGAACUAAUUGUUUCUUGUCGACUAUUGCACCGUACCUCUCGUUUUCCAAACAAUUAAAAGGUACCCUUCCGUGAUGGUUGUACCGAUACCGACUAUCUAUAUUAUUGCUUUCUUGAGCAUACCAAACGAGUUAAUUGGUAUGAUGAUGUUAUAGCUCAUUUAUAUAUGCUUAAAUACAUACACCGGUAGAAAACUCGCCUUUAGUCUCGGUUGGUACGUGUUAGACACCUAAUCCUUGCAUUGAUGGCUAAUCCUUCCAGCUUUUGUCUUCACGCACGCAUGCAUUGAUAGCCUCCUGCGGAUGGCCUUUCAGCUACUGCGCCGUUCAACUUCUGUGGCCUGUCCGGCUUCUUCCUUUCCCCAUAUAAUGUAAUACGUUCAACUCAAAUGAAUGAAAUCAAAUUAUGCGUGUAUUAUUCUCGCUUUCAGUAGGGGCCAAAUCUCCCGAAAAUCCAUCCGGGAUAAAGAUGAGAAAUUAAUCCAUGCGUGGCUUCAUGCAAAUUUGUUCAGAUCAGGUUUGAACAGCAUGUAAUCUUUUUCAGGCAUCUAUAUGGAGCGUGGGGGUGUUAUGUUAUCUUCUACUACACAUAUAACAUUAAAUUCAUUCAGUUUGGCUGAGAGCCCAAAAUGCAACGAAUAUGCCAUCCAACGUGAAAAAAAGAUGUGGAACAGUAUACUCUAUCUUCGAAAUUAAUUAACGAGAUUCAGCUUCAAAAGAGAUAAGAGCAGACAAGAGGCACAUGGGUGCAUGCAUCCACACCUUGGGAUGCUGCAAAAUUUGGGAUCACGUGUGCGGAUCCCUAAUUAGGAAAAAAGAAUAAUUGUGCUAGCAAAAUGUGGAACACGACUGCCGGCCCAGUUGGCGCUAAGACAUCGUACGUGCAUUAAGUCUGAGGUGCCCAACGAUCUCUUUCUUUAACUCAUGCUUGACUGUGACGGUGCUAUUAUAUAAUAUUGCAUGAUCAUCAUGAUAAGAUCGUAUAGUGACUGAGUGAGACAUGUACUAUAACUUACAUUUAAGCCUCGAACUGUGUGUCGUUACGUGAGCUGCCUCCUCUCCUCGCCUCUGAAUUAUUGAACCGUUUCCAACAGUGUUGGUCUCGACGAAAUUUGACACCAACCAGAUUUAUGAAGAAAAGAGAAUAAUACUUGGAAUUGGGAAAAGUUGAUCUCUCUUUACAAUGGGUAGGUGCUCCCCUUUUAUAGUGACCCAUGAGCCACUUUACAUUCCGAAAAUAUCCUUUCUCAACCACUACAUUCCUAGGAUAUGCCGUACAAAUUGAACUCUUCCACGUGGUCACAUUUCUCACGCCUCCUGUUUUCCAACCUCGAGACUUCAUCUUCACGCCAAGUUGAUCAUCUAGCCUCGAGGCUCCAUCCACGAUCCGGAAUGAAGGUCCAGCCUCGAGGCUCCUGCUUGUUAGAAGAACCGUCGUAUGAGACGAGGAUUGUAUCUUAGAGAUAAGAGUUGUUAUGGUUUGAGUUGGCCGGCUAGUAGAUAGAGAUAGAAUCUUGAUGUAUUUGAAUGCUGGCUAAACUUUAUCUAUAACAACAUGCAUUGUAAUCUGUUGGGACUUUCCCCCUAUAUAAACAUGCAACCACGGCGAGCCAAGAUAGGGCAACCGUGUUCAACUCUUUUGACAUGGUAAUCAGAGCCCUUCUUCCAUAAAAUACAUCUACAUCUACACCACCUGGCGCACGCCACCUUGUUGCCUGGCACACGUCAUCACCUUGCAUGCAACAGUCAUGGUGUCAUCAUCGUCAUCGUCAGCCACUGCACCCACGGCGGCGCAGCUUGGAGCUCCUGUAGCUGAAAAGCUUACAGGGGAGAAUUAUGUCUUAUGGAGGGCUCAAUUCUUGCCUGCUGUGCGGGGCGCGCAGCUCAUGGGAGUCCUCAACGGAUCUGUCAAGGAGCCCGGCCAAGACCAUGGAACUGGUGAAGGCUGACGGCAAGAAAGGGUAGCAUGACUUCAUCAACUUACUACACCAAGAUGGUGGCUAUCAAAGAUGAGUUGGCGGCAGUAGAAGUCAUUAUUGACGAUGGUGAGAUGGCAUCUUACAUACUUAAUGGUCUUGAUUUCGAAUAUAAUCCGUUUGUGUCCUCGAUGCUUGGCUGUGCUGAUUCCCUCUCUCUUUCCGAUCUAUACUCUCAUCUGUUGUUUUAUGAGAUGCGCCUGGAAGCAUAUAAUGAAGCGGGACAAUAUACAUCUUGGGCAAACUCAUCUUCUCGUGGAGGAUUUCGGGGACACGGCAAUGGCGGUCGUGGCAAUGGAGGGCGCAAUUGAGGGCGCACCAACGGUGGCCGUGGCCAGAACCGUGGUGGCCAGAACAACAGCAACAGUAGCAGUCAGCCCAAGAAAGUAAUCUGUCAAAUCUGCAAGAAUGUAUGUCCAUGAAGCACCAAGAUUCUGGUAUAGAUACGACGAAGAUGAGCAAGAAAAGGUUGCCGGCACAACAGCUACAAGCUAUGGUUAUGAUACUAACUGGUAUACAGACAGUGGCGCAACCGACCACAUUACUGGCGAGCUUGACAAGUUGACCGUCAAGGACAAGUAUAAUGGUCGAGAUCAAGUACAGGCUGCUAACGGUCCAGGUAUGAAAAUUAGUAAUAUUGAUCAUUCAACUUUACAUAUGCUGGGUAGAAAAUUGCAUCUAAACAAUAUCCUUCAUGUUCCUAUUGCUCACAAAAAUCUUGUUUCCAUCCAUAAAUUAGCUUCCGAUAACAAUGCCUUCCAUGAAUUUCAUCCAAAAUUCUUUUUCAUUAAGGCCCUAUUUGGCAUGGCUCCAACUCUAGGUGGAGCUACUCUACUCCAAAAAUCCAGGUGGAGCCAGCUUUGGGUGGAGUUGGAACUGUCUAGAUGGGGUGUUUGGCUAGAAGAGUGCAUCAGCUCCAAAAAAGACCGAUCUCAGUGUGGAUUGCCAUUGUUGCCCCAAAUUCAAGCCCCACUUUUCAUCCUCUAUAUCCCCAUCUUCUUCUUCCUCAGAAGGCGUGGAUGCAUGGAGAGAAAUCAAAUCGACUCGGCAUUAGAGCGGCGAGAUUUGGACGCGAUCGAUCAAAAUCAAUCGAUUAAAAAAAAAUCUCUCACCGCCACCAGGCUUGGGCGGCGCUGCGAAUGAUAGAGUGGCCGAGGCCACGGGCGCUGGGGAGUACGCGGCAGGCGCCUGCACCAUCGGCAGCAGCGUCAUGUUGGACACCUUGGCCGGCGCGUCCGGGUCCUCCGCGUCAGCAUCGUCAUUCUUGCCGGCUGCCGUCACCGCAUGCCGAUGCCCCAGCCUCUCAGCACCGACACGUCGUCGACUCCACUUCCUGGAAUGCCAUGCCCCCGGCCACGAUCGCCGCGCGCCAAAGUGAUCGUGGCUUUUCUAACAACCAUAUCGUAAUCAUAGGAUCUUCUCAGCGCAAAACUGUGCAGCUCCUUGCCUUUCUUUAGCAGAGCAAGUCCUGCACAAGCCCGCAGCAAGACCAACAUGCACUACUAGAGAAUUGACUUUCAAUCCCCCCCUUUUAGUCUCAAUUUAAUGUAGGCCCGAGAGAAAAGGGGGUGCGCUACGGUAGGCUGGAAUGGGGCGCACCUUUAGUCCCGGUUCAUGUUUAAAACCGGUACUAAAGCCCCCCUUUUGUCCUGAUUUGAGCGGCUAGAUUUUUGCCACCGACAGUGCCCCCCCUUUUGUCCCGGUUGGAGCCACCAACUGGGACAAAAACCUCGCCCUUUUUUUCUGGUUGGCAUUACCAACCGGGAUAAAAAGUUUACUCCUGGUUGGUAACUCAAACCGGGACAAAAGGUUGGCAUUUUCAUCCCGGUUGGAGCCACCAACCGGGAGUAAACACGAACCGGGACAAAAGAGCCAUACUUUUGUCCCGGUUUGGUUUACCAACCGGGAGAAAAUCUUUUCCCCCUUAAAGCUGCUUUCUUCCUCCUCCACUCGUCCAGCCCGAGCCACUCCACUCCACAAAGAUAGAGAAGCUCCAUCCUCUCCAUGGCGCCGAAGCAAGCCUAGGGGAGGUGCUGCCGAAUUUUUUUUCCUCAUUUUGUUGGGGACUUCACUCAUCCAAAGUGUUGUGAAGGUUAGCUACUUCAUUCUCUAUUCAUUUAUUAUUGUUAUGCUUUGUUUUAUACUUUAGAGUGGGAGAAGAAUGAGUUUGCUUGUUAGAAAGAGGGAGAAUGGAGAGGAUUUGUAUUUAUACAUGUUUUUGAGAUACAAUGUGAUGGAUAAUUUGAAUGUGAGGGAGAAUGGAGAGUAAAUGUGAGGUAGAAUGGAGAGGAUUUCAAUUUUAAGUAUUCGGAAAAACUAGAGUAAAUGUGUUUUUAAUCUUUAUACAUUAGCCAUAAAAUUAAGGUAAAUAAAUUGUAGGUGUAAUUUCAUAGUUUAGUACUUUUUAGAUAGAGUUAUGUAAUUAGCCAUUUUUAGAAUAUGUAAAUUAUGUGGGAAAUAUUGAAUUUUUUUAAUAGUUUAGUUAUUUGCAAAUAUGAGCUAAAUAAUUUGUGGUACAUAGAGAUGGCUUCUGCUGCUGGAGGUAGUGGCGAUGGUGGGGGAGAUCUUCAUUCCUCUUGCGGCAAGGGGAAAACUGUAGUUGGCCCUCACGAUAAGCCGAAGAAAAUGAGCGCGUGGGAGAAAGCAGUGCUUCGUUAUUUGCGAAGAUGUCAUGAAGAUGCUAUUGCGGCGGGUCAGGAACCUCCUUUUGGUGGUCGUUAUGCUCCACCGCCAUUCCCGGGUGUUUUAGGUCCACUUAUUAGUACUACUGUUGCAGGAGGUAUAGAUAAACCAUAUGAUAAGGCUGCGUCAGCGAAACCUUCAUCUUCGCCGCCCAAGGAUGCUUGAAAUCCUUCUAGAUAGUACUAAGUGGAUGGUUUGUCGUAGUGUAUCAUGUUGUUGUUGCUCUCAAAUUUAAAUUUGUGUAUUUCUACGUAAACUUUCAGCAACAUUUGAGUUUGUUGUAGUGUAUCAUGUUGUUUGGGUCUGAAAUUUUAAUGUGUAUUUCUAUCUAAAAUUUCAGCAAUGUGAUGGAUAGUUUGAUUGUAAUCCAUUUUAUUGACGGCUUGCGUAAUACGAUGCAGAUGGACCGGCAAUGGAUGUAUAAUGCAGACAGACGAACCAAGGUGUUUAUUGAUGGCUUGCAUAAUUUUCUCGAAGUGGCCAAAGCGAACAAGCUAGAGAACGGGUUCAUAUGUUGUCCAUGCACCCAAUGCGGUAACAACAAGGACUAUUCAAAGGCUGUCUAGGGGACUAUUCCCAGCCACUUGUUUAGAUACGGUUUCACACCUAACUAUUUGGUUUGGACCAAGCACGGUGAAAGAGGGGUUGUAAUGGAAGACGACGAAGAGGAGGAGGAUGAUGACAACAUUCCGGACUGGGGUGCAGGUCAAGCUUUUGCAGAUACUACAAUGGGCGAGGCUGAUGAAGAUGAGUUUGCAAAAGAUGGCCCUACUGAUGACCUCGGUCAGGUGCUAAGGGAUGCACCCAGAGAUUGCGAAACUGACAAGAAAGAAGCAAAGUUGCAGCGCGUGAUAGAUGAUCACCUAAAAUUGUUGUACGCAGAUUGCCAACAGGACCAUAAAAAACUGGGUACCACACUAGAAUUUAUGCAAUGGAAGGCUAAAAAUGGUGUGUCCCAUAAAGCAUUUUAGGGGAUGUUGGAAAUUGUCAAGAAGAUUUUUCCCGAGAAUAAUGAAUUGCCAUCCACAACAUAUGAAGCUAAACGGAUUGUUUUCCCUCUUUGAUUGGAGGUUCAGAAGAUACAUGCAUGCCCUAAUGAUUGUAUCCUCUAUCGCAGUGCUGAAUAUGAGGAUCUGGAUGCUUGCCCUGUGUGCGAAGCACUGUGGUAUAAGAUCAGGCGAGAUGAUCCUGGUAAUGUCGAGGGGCAACAUCCCAGGAAGAGAGUUGCCACGAAAGUGCUAUGGUAUUUCCCAGGAAGAGAGUUCCCACAUUUUGUACAAUAUUCUAUAUCACGAAUAUUUCAUAACUUGUUUGUUUCCCCACUGAAGUGCUUAAGACAGGAACACGGGAACGAUCUAUGUGGCUACUAUGUCUGUGAAAACAUGGAAAGUUUUGUAGACUUGGUCACAUACACUUGGUCCCACCCGUGAUACGAGCAGCCCAACAGCACAGUGUUCCAUGUCAGCAAGCUGGGCUCUAGCCCCGAUCUUGCCAUGCGCUUCGCGAGCUCCAGUGCGUUGUCGACAAGCCUGAGCCGCGUGCAGCACAUGAGCACCGCGUUCCACAUGACCGCCGUGGCCUCCGUCGUCUCAGCACCCAUGUGGCCACAGCGACGUCCGCGUUCUCGACGUACAUGGUGGCGAGGAACCCAGGAACGAGCGGGUGCGCGUCUACGUGGUGGGGAGCGUGGCAGUGGCAGCUUUGCUCGAUCUGGCAGCCGGAGAGUGGGACGAGACCACCACGGGGGAGACGGUCGGUGGUGGUGGCGGUGGCAAUGGGAGGAAGGCCUUGGAGAUCAAGGGAUCCAAGGUCCCCUUCCAAGAGAGAAGGGAGAUCGGGGGAGGAGACCGAUGGAGGGGAGGCGGGAGGGAGGAUGGUCGGCAGCGGGGGUAAGGAGAAAGAACAGGCGCGCGGGAGGGAGUCACGGUGCCGGAGACUCGGGAGAAAAGAAGCGAAUCAUUUUUGUGUAACUAGUGGUAUUGGUAGGUAAUUACCCACCAACUCCACGAGGAGGUUCAUAUUGGGUAGUUUUGGAGUUGCAAAAGAGGUGCUCCAAAACUCCACCCCCAUUUGCACUACAGCUCCAUGGAGUUUUGGAGUUGGGGUGUGUUGGCUGUAAAAUUGGCUAGAGUUGCUGGAGGUCAGCUCCAGAGCCAUGCCAAACACGCCCUAAGGAUCAGGAAACGAGGAAAAUCCUUCAUCAAGGUAGAUGCAAAGCAGGCCUUUAUCCAUUAGAAUCCAUCUUGUCAGAAGAAGGCGAUGACAAGAGAGUUUAUGGUGCCAUCAAACCAUCUGCUUCUAGAUGGCAUAGCCGCUUAGGCCAUCCAGCUUAUCCUAUUAUUCAGCGUGUGCUUAAUCAUAAUAAUCUUCCUUGUGGUAGUACUAAUUUUGAGUCAGUUUGUGAUUCAUGUCAAAUGGCUAAAAGCCAUCAACUUCCAUAUUCUAGUUCAAUAAAUUCGUCAAAAGCUUCGCUUGAUCUUAUUCAUUCUGAUGUUUGGGGGCUUACACCUAAUUCUGUUGGUCGAUAUUCCUACUAUGUGAGCUUUAUUGAUGAUUAUAGUAGGUUCACCUAGAUUUAUCUCCCGAAAAAGAAAUUUGAUGUCUUUCAAGUGUUCAAAGAAUUUCAGAAUCUAGUGGAGCGAAAACACAAUAAGAAAACUGUAUCCAUGCAAACCAACUGGGGAGGCGAAUAUGAGAAGUUGAAUUCCUUCUUUCAGCAAAUUGGUAUAGCACAUCGCGUCUUAUGUCCUCAUGCCCACCAGCAAAAUGGCCUCGUCGAGAGAAAGCAUCGUCAUACUGUUGAAGUUGGUCUCGCUCUUCUCGCAAAUGCUUCAAUGCCUUUAAAAUUUUGGGAUCAAGCUUUUUUGACCGCCACUUAUCUCAUUAAUAUGCUUCCCAGUAAAAUUCUUAAUUUCGAUACUCCUAUAGAACACUUGCUCCAAGAAAAGCCUGAUUACAGCUCUCGUCGCAUUUUUGGGUGCGCUUGUUGGCCUAAUUUGCAACCCUAUAAUACUCGCAAGCUAGCUUUUCGUUCUGUUAAAUGCACCUUUCCUAGUUACAGUUUCAUGCAUAAAGGCUUCAAGUGCUUAGAUCCCUCUACCGGCAGAAUUUAUAUCUCCCGAGAUGUUGUUUUCGAUGAAUCGAUCUUUCCGUUUGCUCACUUACAUCCCAAUGCAGGCGCCCUUCUCAGUAAAGAGAUUCUUCUUUUACCUGACCAUCUUCGUAAUCCGGGGGAUGUAAGUUGCAUAGACAAUAUUACUAUACUACUGACCGUUUGCAUGAUAGUAAUGCGCAAGAUGUUUUUCAGGGGAAACUGUCACCGGGCUGGGCGCACGGUGACGCAGAAAAUCACGGCGGCACAUUCCAGGAGGAUUUGAUGCCAGGUGCCGACGGUCCAGGCGUUGACUCCCAGGGAGAUUCGGCGGCAGCAUCCGUUUUGCUCCCCUCCUUCCCAGCAGUGCCCAUGUCGUCGAAUACAUCUCCGACGCGUGGCUCCACGACAUGCCCAGCGCCCGCACCCGGCGCUCCUCCGUCGCCGCAUGGCCCCGCACUUGGCCAAUCGCCUGCGCCAGCCGCCGGGAGUCCGACGCGUGGGGGGGGACCCAUCUAUCACGCCAGACAGUCUCCCACCCGUGCCUGCUGCCCCGAGUCGUGCUAGCGCUGGAUCCUCUUCGGGAAGCGGAUCCGGUGUGGAAUCUAUGCCUGGUCAGGCCAGUUCUUUGGCGCUGGCUGCCCCUGCGCCGUCUAUUUCAGUGCCAAGACAACGGACACGGCUUCAAAGUGGGAUUACGAAACUUACAUAGUUCCAGGACAUGAUCAGGUAUGGGUUGUUCUUAGCUUCUGCGGAACCACAGGAUUUUCAUGAAACUCUAAAUGAUUAUAGAUGGAAAAAAGGCUAUGCAAGAUGAAUUUGAUGCUCUCAUUAGAAAUCAAACUUGGCACUUAGUUCCUGAAAUAAAGGGUAACAAUAUUAUUGAUUGCAAGUGGGUAUUCAAAAUCAAGAAAAAAUCAGAUGGUACCAUAGAUAGAUAUAAAGCAAGGCUAGUUGUAAAGGGUUUUCAGCAACGGUAUGGCAUUGAUUAUGAGGAUACUUUCAGUCCAGUGGUUAAGAUUGCAACUGUCAGGCUUGUCCUCUCAAUUGCUAUUUCGAAAGGGUGGUGUCCAAGAUAGUUAGAUGUAUAGAAUGUGUUUCUUCAUGGUGUUCUGGAAAAAGAAGUUUAUAUGAGGCAACCUGCAGGAUUUGAAAAAGGAGCUUUGCAUCUUGUGUGGAAAUUGGACAAGGCUAUCUACGGCUUGAAACAAGCCCCGCGAGCUUGGUAUGCUAAGUUAUGUUCCAAACUUAUUGCACUUGGAUUUGUUGCAUCUAUAUCAGACACUUCGUUAUUCAUCUAUCAAAGAUUGGGUGUCAUAAUUUAUAUGUUGAUUUAUGUUGAUGAUACAAUUGUGACAAGUUCAUCAAGUGAAGCUGUUACGACGUUGCUUGCUGAUCUCAAGAAGGAUUUUGCUCUAAAAGAUCUGGGGGACCUCAGUUACUUCCUGGGUAUUUAAAUUAAAAGAGAAAAGAAUACUCUGCUGCUAACACAAGAAAAGUAUGCAAAGGAGAUUUUGUCACGGGUUGGUAUGGAGAAUUGCAAACCAUCAUCUACACCAUUGUCUACUAGUGAGAAACUUUCAAAGUAUGAAGGGGAGUUGCUGAAUUCAAGCGAUAGUACGAGGUACAGAAGCGUCGUUGGUGCAUUGCAAUAUCUCACUCCUACCUGACCGGAUCUAGCAUUCUCUGUGAACAAAGUGUGUCAAUUUCUACAUGCUCCUACCACGGUUCAUUGGACUGCUGUAAAAAGGAUACUUCGGUAUGUCAAGUUCACAUUGGAUCUUGGACUAAAUUUUCAGGCGUCAUCCUCCACCUUGGUUAUUGCUUUCUGUGAUGCUGAUUGGGCAGGAAGUGUUGAUGAUAGAAGAUCUAUCGGAGGGUUUGCAGUUUUCUUUGGUCUGAACUUGAUUUCUUAGAGUGCUAGAAACCAAGCCACUAUCUCAAGAUCAAGUACAGAAGUUGAAUACAAGUCUAUGGCAAAUGCAACUGCAGAGUUAAUAUGGUUGGAAUCCUUGCUAAAGGAGCUGGGUAUACGGCUGCAUCAACCACCAUAUUUACAGUGUGACAAUUUGGGAGCUACAUAUUUGUCUGCCAAUCCAGUCUUUCAUGCGAGAGCAAAGCAUAUAGAAAUUGAUUUUCACUUUGUUCGCGAGCGUGUGGUAAAUAAAAAGCUGCAGGUGCUGUUGGUUGCUUCCAGAGACCAGCUUGCGGACUGUUUACCAAAGCCUUGCCGUGCGGAUUGCUGGAAGCUUUCAAGAGCAAUCUAAAUAUCAAAAGGAAGAGAAGUUUAGAUUGAGAGGGACUGUUAGAAGAACCGUCGUAUGAGACGAGGAUUGUAUCUUAGAGAUAAGAGUUGUUGGUUUGAGUUGGCCGGCUAGUAGAUAGACAUAGAAUCUUGAUGUAUUUGAAUGCUGGUUAACUCUAUCUGUAACAACAUGCAUUGUAAUCUCUUGGGACCUUCCCCCUAUAUAAACGUGCAACCACGGCGAGCCAAGAUAGGGCAACCGUGUUCAACUCUUUUGACACUGCUUCGUUAAGCUUUGUUGAGAACUCAUAAACUCACAUAGUUCUCCUCUGAGUAUUGUUCCUAACUAAAGAGUAAAAAGGUAAAAGCUCGGUGCCCGGAACCGACUCAGAACACUCGAGGCUUAACUUAGUUGGAGUUUAGCUAUUACCGUUGCCAGUGACCAGCCUCGAGCCCCUCUAGAAGCAAGGUGAUGUGAGGGUGCGAGUUUUACUAUAAGAGGUGUCCCCAUAGAACGUGCGAGGUUAAAGGUGUUCUGUUACUUUUCCUGCCGACGCAUAACUUGCAAGGUUAAGGGGUUUUUAUCCCACAAACGGUGCUCCAGGAUGUUCAGAUUUUUGGGAUCCCCAACAAACAUAAAUCUUGAGUGGCUCUAAAUUGUUGUUGGCCACAUCAUACCUUGUCUUGGGCUGCUGGGUCGUGUUGUGCACCACGAGUGCACGAUCAGACAUCCUGCAUUGUUAAGUCUUCGAUGAUACGGCUGCCUUGCUUCCUCAGCUUGUCAGCAACUGCUUCCUGACUGCUACAGUACAAUUAUUGCAUGGUAUCAAGGUAAUAUAUAUAGUGACUGAAUGAGCACAUAUAACAUAUGCAUUUAGGCCUCCAACUGGUCAUUGCACGAGCUGCCUCCUCUCCUUACCUCUGAAUUAUGGAGCCAUAUCCAACAACAACCUUGACAGUGAUGAUGAUGACGACGACGAUGAAAUUAAGAAAAGAAGCUUUAUGCAAAUUGCAAAAAGCUGAAAUAAGUGGUUGAAACAUUUCAAAUCACCAAAUGCCACAUUUGAAAUGACUAGAUGAAACAUCAUGAAAUCAAUUGCAACAGUUGAAGAUGAAAACAUUCAAACGCCUUGCCUUUCUCCAGAUUUGAUCCUCCAAGCAUAUAUGAGUCCAGACAUUUGCACAUUAGACCCUAGGGAGGAGCUCACCGGAGAACAACAAGACCGUGUUCUCCAACAAUUUUCCGAUCAAAUUGCAACAUAAAAAACAAAGCAUUGCAACACAUCUGGCAUCGCGAGCAACAACAUCAACCAGUUAGGAUCAGGAGAAAGAGGGCAAACCCAAGCCUAGCAAUGAGUUAUAUCCAGUUUAAACGAGGAUAAAAAUGAGUGUAUUUUCCACUCAUCAUGUUGUCUUUUCGCAGCUGUACCGCCUUUAGUGUGUUGUAUUGUUCCCCUAACACCAAGUCUCCGAGGCCCGAGAAAAUAAGGAAAGUGAUAGCAGCCCAGAAAUCGACCAAGUUUCUUUCCCCCUUUGGCAUUCCUACUAGAAUUCGGAAUACUCUUUCGCAUGACAAUCAUAAUUAUCUCCCACAAUCCAAAACUCACAAAAACAUCAAAAAUCUGCCGAGAAUAAAUUAAGUAAAAAACAUGCACAAACAGAUAAUAAUAAUAAUCAUGUUUCAAUAAAAUUGCUAAGGCCAGAGACAAUACAUAAACAUAUUAGACUGUUCAUGACACAUAUCACGGUGGACAGUGUCUGUGUCCUUAUUACAAGCAGCGAGAGGAAUUAAAUAUGCUUGUCACCACACACACGCGCGCGCAGAUGCACGACACACAUAUAGUUGAGACCAACAGAUGGACCUCGACUAGAGGUCGCCCCAUAUGGUGAACAAUUUAUUGGAGAUAAACAUGAACAUAACUUGGCCAUAGCUUGAAGCAUAGCAACAUAUGCCUAUGAAUGGCAUUCAUGCUGGUAGCAAUGCAAUCAUAUCGUUUUAGGCUUGUCCAGCUUCUUCCAUCUUAGCAAGCACUGCCAUUUCUUCCAUCUUAGCAGCAACUGUCAAAUUGAGAUAUGGAAAUCCCAUUAGCGCAUGAGUUAAUUUUGCAGUGGAAAUAGAGUACAAGAUGUCUUCAUGAUGUAAGUAAUAUGCCUGAAGUUGUGAGAUGGGAAGUGAAGUCAACAAAUUACAUUAACGGAAAUGCAUGGAAGGCCACACAUACGUAUUAGUCCACGAUAUGCUACAAAGCUUGUAUGUACAUAUAACAAAUUAAAUGCAUUGAAUAGAGUGAGUUUACUGAAUUUACCAGAAUCGGACAGAACACAUGGGAAACAGCAAGUGUUCUUGCAGAGUGAGUCGGAGCCACCUGCAGUAAUACAAGCAAAACAACAUGCUUUUGCCCGGGCGGAUACGCAGCAGCUGCACUGUGCCGCGGUGGCCGGGUUAACAUUGAGGCUCAAGAUGACCAGGCACAUGAUCACCAUCAAAGCGGUAGUCCUCUUUCCCUCCAUUGCCUCCUCUUUCUGCUACCUUCCUUGGUUACCUAGCUAAGUUUAUUAGUUUUGUGUUGAGAGGUGAUUCUUGAAUGGACGUUGCCGGCUGCAAUUUAUAGGCAGCUGCGCUAUGUGAUGAUAUGGACAAGGUGCAAAUGGGUGGUCCAAUGGCAAGGAAAGGGGGUAUUCUGCUUGACAUUGGCAUCAGACAAAGCCCAAUGGCAACUGCUGACACGCGAUUAAAAUCAGAUCCGCAUCUUAUCCAUCCAUUCACUAAUAAUUAAAGUAAACCCACGCGGUCCGCGAGAUGCAGCGUCCAUGCAUAGCACUUCCCGCCAAACAAUAGGAAAAAUUAGAAUUCAGAGAUAGGAGCUGCUUGCAUGAAACACGGUUGCACAGAAAUCAGUGGUGCUUGGACGGUAAGUAGUGUGGUGUACAAGCUUAAAGCGGCAGUGAGUCACGUUGGUGUAACAAGCAGUACAUCAGCUGGAAGAUUGAUAUGUCUAUUGCCCACGCAGCAUAGCAUUUUAUUAUGAUACAUUGAGUUAUGUCAUAUUGUUACUUUAAGUUAUUUUUUAAGUAUUAGUUGUAGACAAUUUAGUUGCAAAUUUAAGCGGUUAUUUUAAAUUAUUUUUUAUAAUGGCAUAAGUGGGUAAUUUAGAUGAAGAUUAGGGGGUUACUUUAGCUUAUUUUAUAUAAUAGCAGAGGUGGGUAAUUUAGAUAUAAAUUUAGGGUUACUUUAGGCUAUUUUCUUAAUGGCAUAGGUGGGUAAUUUUUUUAGAAAUUAUAAUAGAUCCAAUGGCUACGAUGUUUGAGUCUACUCGUUGAUGGCAAGAUGUUUUGCUUGUUUGUGGAAAUUUUAAAUAUGUCUCUUUUUUGUAGAGUGUCCACGUAGGAUCCUAGGUGGCUUCGCUUGGAGGCUUCAAAAGGAGGUCCAAAAUUAGUAAUAGUAUGAUUUUCUCAAAAGAGACUUAAUUCUACCACUGUAACUUGAUUGGCCGCCCCGGCCUCUACCUUUUGCCUCCAUUUGACUAUUUGAGUUGGCUGUGAACGAUUCUCGGCGCUAGCAACGUUACGUGUGAUCCAAAUGCCAGCACUCAUGUGCGCCACCUGUAUUCUAUGGGAAUGCCAUGAUGCAUGUGCAGUAACAGCGCGCACAUCUUGCAGGAUUCGCGCCUCGUUUUCACUAUUGUGUCAUCUUAGCAAUUAGGAGCGAAGUGUGCUUUGGGGUGGCAAUUGGGAUAUAGACAUUAUUCUCGAAAAGAAUCUUGAAGUCUUACAUUCACCCCCUCCGGUCGCCGGUUCCGAUCCUUCACCUAUAAAUUAGGAGUAGUAGUAGGUAGUAAGUGGCAGGUUAGGUAAGUACCCGUUGAUGAAUGUUGGCUUGGCGUGAUUGGCUCUGCUGGUUCCACGAAGAUGCCAAUAUACAGCAAGGACCUAGGUCCAAAGGGAAAAACAACCAACAAGUGGGUUUGUUGCCGACCGCUAGCUAAUCAACAGUGACGUACGGGUGGAUUCGUGCGUAAAUAUUUUUUCAAUCAUGCCAUCAGGCCGCUGAUAAAAUGGGCUUAUGGUUGGCUAACCUUUAAAACAUUCUUAGAGCUGUUGGCCAUUGUGAUAACUUUGCACGUGCAUCAUUAACAUGCCAACAUACAACAAGGACAUAAGACCAAAGGAAAGAACAACCAACAAGUGCCUUUGCUGAUCGGUCAGGUCUCAGAGUUUGAGAAACUGGAUCUGACGGAUGUGAAAUUAAUCCAUGCGUGGCCUCAUGCAAAUUUGUUCACAGGUUUGAACAGCAUGUAAUCUUUUUCAGGCAUCUAUAUGGAGCGUGGGUGUGUUAUGUUAUCUUCUACUACACAUAUAACAUCAAAUUCAUUCAGUUUGCCCGAGAGCCCAAAAUGCAACGAAUAUGCCAUCCAACGUGAAAAAAAAGAGAUGAGGAACAGUAUACUCUAUCUUCGAAAUUAGUCAACGAGAUGCAGCUUCAAAAGAGAUAAGAGCAGACAAGAGACACCAUGGGAUGCUGCAAAAUUUGGGAUCACGUGUGCAGAUCCCUUAUUAGGAAAAAAGAAUAAUUGAGCUAGCAACAAUAGUAGGACAUCUCCAUGCUCACCUAGUAUAGUAGCCACUUCUAGUGCGCGUGGAACACGACUGCCGGCCCAGUUGGCGCUAAGACAUCGUACGUGCAUUAAGUCUGAGGUGCUAGGACAGCUUCCUCUUGCUUCCCCACCAAAUCAUGAGCAACGAUCUCUUUCUUUCUAACUCAUGCUUGACUGUGACGGUGCUAUUAUAUAUUAUUGCAUGAUCAUCAAGAUAAGAUCGUAUAGUGACUGAGUGAGACAUCUAUGUACUAACUUGCAUUUAAGCCUCGAACUGUGUGUCAUUACGUGAGCUGCCUCCUGUCCUCGCCUCUGAAUUAUUGAACCGUUCCCAACAGCUUGGUCUCAAAGGAAUUUGACACCAAACAGAUUGAUAAAGAAAAGAGAAUAAUACUUGGAAUUGGAAAAAGUUGAUCUCUCUAUACAAUGAGGUAGGGCUCCCCUUUUAUAGUGACCCAUCAGCCACUUUACAUUCCGAAAAUGUCCUUCCUCAACCACUACAUUCUUAGGAUAUGCCAUACAUAAAUGUCAUUUGAGGUGACGUGUACAAAUUGAACUCUUCCACAUGGUCACGUUUCUCACGCCUCUUGUUUUCCAACCUCGAGACUUCAUCUUCAUGCCAAGUUGAUCAUCUAGCCUCGAGGCUCCAUCUACGAUCCGGAAUGAACGUACAGCCUCGAGGCUCCUGCUUCGUUAAGCUUUGUUGAGAACUCAUAACCUCACAUAGUUCUCCUCCGAGUAUUGUAUCUGACUAAAGAGUAAAAAGGUAAAAGCUCGGUGCCCGGAACCGACUGAGAACACUCGAGGCUUAGCUCAGUUGGAGUUUAGCUAUUACCGUUGCCAGUCACCAGCCUCGAGCCCCUCCAGAAACAAGGUGAUGCGAGAGUACGAGUUUUACUAUUAGAGGUGUCCCCAUAGAACGUGCGAGGUUAAUGAGUUCAGUUUCUUUUACUGCCGACGCAUAACAUGCGAGGAUCAACGAAUAUGAGGAACACUAUAUGCCAUCCAACGGGGGAAAAAAAAAGAUGAGGAACAGUAUACUCUAUCUUCGAAAUUAGUUAUAAAGAUUCAGCUUCAAAAGAGAUAACGAGGCGUCCAAGACUCGAGGAGCCAGUCAAGAGCAGACAAGAGGCACAUGAGUGCAUGCAUCCACACCUUGGGAUGCUGCAAACUUUUAUGAGGCUGCAAGCUGCAUACAUAAGUUUAUUUCACCUUUGUUCACAAUACUCUUCACACACCAUUCACACACGUCUCAGGGAGCUCUGCAGCAAUGGUGGAGAUCUUAGCUAGACUGCUCACUUCCCUUGUUGUCGCUAUUGCUAAAAACACAAGCUCACCUCUGCUAUUGCGAAGCAGACCAAUUUGCUGUGGAACUUUGGCGACGACCUGAAGGACAUGAAGUCGGUGCUGGAGUCCAUCUCAGCAGCGCUCCAGGACGCUGACACUGCUAGAAAAACAACCUUUCAUCCUCAACAAAAGUCCCGAUAGCUUUUUUACCUGGAACUAAAGAGGUUUUAGUGCUGCGCAAACACCUUUAGUCCGGGUUGCUGUUACCAACCAAGAGUAAAGGGUACGAUGGCACCAACCGGGACUAAAGCACCCCCCACGAGUUACUAUAAAGGAUUGCAUCCUCCACUUAGUCAGAUUUACUGUGUAGGUGAGAUGGUAAGGAAGCUAUGCGCGAGGCUUGAGAUCAUCGGUUCGAAUCCCACGCACCGCGCGCGCACGCGCAUAGUUUGAGUGAAAAAUCAUGUCACUUGUGAUCGGCCAAGGAGAAGUGGGUGCAGAUGUGGCUUAAGCGGCUGAGGCACGCCGCCAUAGACAUCUUGGAUUUGCUCGAAGACUACCAAGACACUAGUGAACCCUUAACAGCAAAGGUGAGUACUUAUGCAUGUCAACAUCUAUGUUGUCCAUGCUUCCAAUGCAAUAAGAAGAAGGACUACUCUUCCUAGCGGACUCUUCACAACCACUCAUAAAGCUAUGUGUUUCUCAAUGCAAUUUCGUAGAAGGCAAUGGAUCCAACCAACCGACUAAAUCAUUCGUCCUUGCCAAUGAUGUGCUUCAGGUUUUCCAUAUGAAGGACAUGUGACUACUAGAAAAACGAUCUUUCAUCCCUAGCCUUAGUACCGGUUGCAUUUGGAACCGGUACUAAUGUUUACAUUAGUACCAGUUCCAAAGGAUACUGUCCGGAGCGCACCUCGAUGACCCCUUUAGUACCGGUUGGGGGCAACAACCGGUACUAAAGGGUGAGCAUUAGUACCGGUUGUUACCUUAAUCCGGUACUAAAGGGCUACCCACCCUCUAUUACCGGUUGGUGGCAUCAACCGGUACUAAAAGGGAUACCCUCUAGCACCGGUUGCUGCCACAACCCGGUACUAGUGCGGCGCCAUGCAGAAUAGAAGGUAGAUCGAUUGUACAUGGAGGGGGAACAAAGGGAGAAAGGCAAAUCAUCAGCUUAUUAUCACAUGGUAGACUAGUCUUUAAAACAUGUUUAGGGCAGAGCACAUUACGUUUAUCUUGUUUUGCACAACAACAAAUGUGACCUUUAGAAGAUAGCCCUCCUCUAAUUAAACUAGUGCACUAUUACAGGAUGGUAUCGCACGCUUCCUUUUUCCCUAUGAAAAUGAAGUUUUUAAUGAUCUGAUAGCAGCUGGCAAAACAAAUGAUUGCAAAGAUGUUUGCAGAUGAUAAUGAUACUUAUGACCACUCUGAUGAUGAAGAGAUAGAGGAACAUUUGGUCCGUCAACGUAUUUCAAAUUAACACGUCAAAUCGCACUCAAGACCUCUCACCAACUCCUCCACCAGUUUCCAAAGGCAAAUCAACUUAUUAUCGCAUGCAUGGUAGUGUCUUUGAAACAUGUUUAGGGCACAACACAUUACGUUUAUCAUCUUUUGCACAACAUUAAAUGGACCUUUGGAAGAUAGCCCUCCUCUAAACUUGUGAUGCAUUGUAAUGAUAUGUCAUGUAUAUAUGUCUCACUUGUAUCAUAGCUGUUAAAGUACCACGUCAAAUUGCACUUGCGGUGAGAUCUCUCUGACCAAGUCCUCCACCACUUUCCAAGGCAAAUCAGACAAACUCCUUGUUAUAUUCCACAUAUUGGUUUCAUCCUUAUAUAGAUGUCCAUGUAUACUCUUUUGUUUGUCUACUCAACUUAUCACAUUGUCGUAGUGUCUUUGAAACAUGUUUAGGGAAAGUCCAUAGUGGAGGGUAGUAAAUGUCAAAGGGAGUUUGUAAGGAUAAGACAACACAAAUUUUGUAAGGGUAUUCUAAAGCAUUUGAUUCUAAACUAUCCGCGAGACCUCUCACAACCUCCUCCACCACUUUCCAAGAUAAUAUACAAUCAAAUUCCUUGUAGGAGUUUGGAUGUUGGACCAAUGGGAAGUUGACGAAAGAGUGGGACAAAAAUGUGACUCGAUCAUGUCAUUGUGGGCAAAGGUCCUGGUAGCUCAUGGAACAGAUCAUUUGAAGUACACAGGAUAGGGAGGCAAUAGUCGGCACAAGGAGAGGCAUGACCAGAAGCUUGAAAGAAGUAAACUUCAAAGCUAGGAGGAAUGUUAUUCUUGCUGGUUCAAUGUGUCUUCUUAUAGAUCAGUUCAUAGAUCUUAUGUAUUUGGCUGUGAUGAAAGCUAUGGAGCCCUCCCAGCCCCUUCGAGCUGAUGCUAAGCCCAAUCUAAACUGCAUAUGGAAUGUGAAAACUCUUUCUGCAAUGAGCCAAGCUAUCAAUCCAUACCUGUGAGGCAACAUCUCGAUUCUGUGGCUACUGACUGAGGUAUUUGGCAUAGAGUAGACCAAUGGUGCAUUGUGAAUAAGCUUAUUAGAAUGUGAAUAAGUCAGAAUUCUUGCUCGUCCUCCAUUUGUUCGCUCUCUGUUCUUUUGUUUACAAGGGACUCGGUUGAUCCGCGGGACCUCUCACCAACUCCUUCACCACUUUCCAAGGCAAAUCAGCUUAUCACAUGUGGUAGUAUCUUUGAAACAUGUUUAGGGCACAAGAGGAAGGCAUAGUGCUGGAAAAACGGUUAAUGGGGUGGCGGACGGCGGGAUGCUUCGCAUUCUCGUAUGAAGGAAGCUCCAUCAACUAGAUUGACGGUCAAGUUGCAUGAAGCAGAUGCCACAGUCGACGGAGAGAGCAUCUGGGUCUAACCAUAAUAACACAAGUCUUUCCUUUAGAUAACAUGCCAUCAGAUUCCUUGCAAGAGUUUGUAUGUUCGACCAACAGGAAGUUGACGAAAGAGUGGGACAAAAAUGUGACUCGAUCAUGUCAUUGUGGGCAAAGGUCCUAGUAGCUCAUGGAAUAGAUGAUAUCAUUUGAAGUACAUAGGACAGAGAGGCCAUAGUCGGCACAAGGAGAAGCAUGACCAGAAACUUGAAAGAGGUAAGCUUCAAAGCUAGGAGGAAUGUUAUUCUUGCUAGUUCAAUGGUGUCUUCUUAUAUAUCAGUUCAUAGAUCUUAUAUAUUUGGCCGUGAUGACAGCUAUGGAUCCCUCCGAGCCCCUUUGAGCCGAUGCCAAGCCCAAUCUGAACUGCACAUGGAACGUGAAAACUCUUUCUGCAAUGAGCCAAGCUAUCAAUAUCCAUCCCUGUGAGCCAACAUCUUGAUUCUGUGGCUACUGACUGAGGUAUUUGUCGUAGUGUCUUUGAAACAAGUCAAACACCUCACCAGGGGAUCAAGCUCCACGAGAACGAGAGCUACUUUCAGAUCCAGGAUAUUAAUCAACAAGUCAAACACCUUCCCAGGGGAUCAAGCUCCAUGAGAACGAGAGCUACUUUCAGUUCCAAGAUAUUAAUCAACAAGUCAAACACCUAACCAGGGGAUCAAGCUCCACGAGAACGAGAGCUACUUUCAGUUCUAGGAUAUGGGCAUAGCUGUGAGGGGGGCCACAACGCCCCUUUAUAUAAGGGCUACUGGUUUUGCCCUUGCCUUGUGAAGUUGUGCCACAUAACUCCCAAAAUCCCUCAAGAAAGAUAACACCACAAGCAGGAAGCCAAGUAGCUAUGGAACCUGUGACAGAUAUAGCUUCCUCAUUAUGUGACUCAUGUCAUUGUGGGUGCGGGGUGACCUUGAUCUACAACUUUGUAGUUGAAACAUUUUUCAUUUGGUGUCAUCUUGGUGCUCAAAUAAUCGACACGAACUAAAACUUGGCACCACACAUUCAAAAAAUAAUAAAAUUUAUAUGAACUCAGAUAUAGAUAAAAUUUAUAUCAAAAUUGUUGAUCUCAACGAGAUUUACAACUUUGUAGUUCAAAUUAUUUUCAUUUGGAGCCAUCUUGGUGCUCAAAUAAUCGAAACAUUUUCUAGAUCUAAAAUUUAAUUUUAGAUCGGAAACUUGUGUCGAUUAUUUGAGCACCAAGAUAAUACCAAAUGAAAAAUGUUUGAACUACAAAGUUGUAGAUCUCAUCGAGAUCUACAAUUUUCAUAUAAAGUUUAUCUCCAUCCGAGUUCAUAUGAAUUAGUUCAACCGGCGAUAAGGCUGCUACAGUGUAGCUUCCGCCGUUUCAAAUGGCGGUAUAGGUUUAGAUUAGCAAUUUUUGUAACCCAUAUAUUUUUGCAAAAUACUAAAAUAAAAAAUAUAAAAAUAAAAAAAAUCUAGUUUUAAUCAGCAAUGACUAAAUGUUAGCCCGGUUAUGCCCCAUCUUAGGUCUAAUCAUGGACCAAUAAAACAUGUGCUAGAAUUCAUGGCCACCGGAUGCGUGUUCGACCAUGUAAUCGUAUGCUAUACCUCACAGGAGGUUGAAAAUGGCCUGAAGGGGUACAGUGGAUGAAAACGUCGGGGACGCUCGGAACACAAGAAAAUGACCACCAGAUACAUGUUUGGCCAUUGUAACUGUGCUCUAUAGUUGAUAGGUUGAAAGCGGCUCGAAGAGGCAUCAGGGAUGGAAACAUGGGGGAUGGUUGGAACACUUGAAAAUGGCACUGGAUAAGUGUGCUUAUUCCUUACAAAAUGCUGAAAAUGGCUCAGAAGGGUCAUCGAGGAUGGAAACUAGGUGGUCAAUAAGUGAAAAUGGGCAGCGGACAUGUUCAGUCAUGUAACCGUGUGCUAUAGUCCACUAGAGGUCGGAAAGCUGCCCUAGGGGCUCUAGAGACGAAAACGUGAGGAAUAGCUGAAAGGUUACGUGUUUGGUCAUGACAGCCCUAUUAGGAAGCGAUAGAAGUGGAAAGAUAGCUGGUUUCAGAUUGGCAACCCAUCUUUUGCUUCCCCCUUACUUCCAUACGUAAUCCAUGGGCAUCGAAUUUAAAAGUAUACAAAUCACUUUUAGAUGUAAUUGAGGGUAAAGAGGGGAGGUUUCGUGAGACUCUACAAUGUUCAAAUCGUUCGUUCGUUAGGAUGCCUCAGCUACAUACAUCAUUGCACUUCCAGUUGACACCAAUUUAAAUGGUUCGUCUAGCCGCUACAAGGUAUCAUCAGAUAUAGAAGAAUUAGAGACUGGGGGUAAUAGCAAAAAAGGAAUAUAACUCGUCCGAGAAAGUGGGUGCAGGGGCAGUGGGGUAAGGUAAUUGAAGUAACUAGCCAGUUUCUUCCCGAAACUUCCCAAGAAAAAUCCCGAAUUGGAUCCAAAAUUGACGGAUUAAUCAACCAAAAUAACCGUGAGCAGCCACAAUGUUAUAAGUCCCUUCUUCUUGACCAAAUUUGUAACCCUUAUUAGCAGACUCAUUUUCAGUGGUUUCUUUCCCUGAUCAAACUAGAGGUUACCAAGGAACCGUGUGCUCUAGCCCACAGGUGGCCGAAAACGGCGAAGAAGGGCUUCGGGGAUGGAAACAACGUGGAUGGUCAGAACACGUGAGAAUGACCACGGGAUGCAUGUUUGGCCCUGUAACAGUGUGCUAUAGGAAGCCGGAAAUGGCCAGGAGGGUCACCAGGGAUGAAGAUGCAGGGAUGGAUGGAACACGCGAAAAUGGCCACCAGUGAUUAGUGGCAGGUCUACAGAGAUAUCUCAUCAAAUCGGUGAUUUAUAUCCGAUUUAAACGAGGAUAAAAAUGAGUGUAUUUUCCACCCAUCAUGUUGACUUUUCGCAGCUAUACUGCCUUUAGUGUGUUGUAUUGUUCCCAUGACACCAAGUCUCCAAGGCCCGAGAAAAUAAGGAAAGUGAUAGCAGCCUAGAAAUCGACCAAGUUUCUUUCCCCCUUUGGCAUUCCUACUAGGAUUCGGAAUACUCUUUCGCAUGACAAUCAUAAUUAUCUCCCAUAAUCCAAAACUCACAAAAACAUCAAAAAUCCGCCGAGAAUAAAUUAAGUAAAAAACAGGCACACAUAGAUAAUAAUAAUAAUAAUAAUAAUCAUGUUUCUAUAAAAUUGCUAAGGCCAGAGAUAAUACAUAAAAAUAUUAGACUGCUCAUGACACAUAUCACGGUGGACAAUGUCUGUGUCCUUAUUACAAGCAGCGAGAGGAAUUAAACAUGCUUGUCACCACACACACGAGCGCACAGAUGCACGACACACAUAUAGUUGAGACCAACAGAUGGACCUCGACUACAGGUCGCCCCAUAUGGUGAACAAUUUAUUGGAGAUAAACAUGAACAUAACUUGGCCAUAGCUUGAAGCAUAGCAACAUAUGCCUAUGAAUGGCAUUCAUGCUGGUAGCAAUGCAAUCAUAUCGUUUUAGGCCUGUCCAGCUUCUUCCAUCUUAGCAAGCACUGCCAUUUCUUCCAUCUUAGCAGCAACUGUCAAAUUGAGAUAUGGAAAUCCCAUUAGCGCAUGAGUUAAUUUUGCAGUGGAAAUAGAGUACAAGAUGUCUUCAUGAUGUAAGUAAUAUGCCUGAAGUUGUGAGAUGGGAAGUGAAGUCAACAAAUUACAUUAACGGAAAUGCAUGGAAGGCCACACAUACGUAUUAGUCCACGAUAUGCUACAAAGCUUGUAUGUACAUAUAACAAAUUAAAUGCAUUGAAUAGAGUGAGUUUACUGAAUUUACCAG